CCAAAUAUAGCAUCUGUUGUGAUCUGAGAAUCAAUUCUUGCUAUGAAUUACCGCAUAUUUUAAUGAGAAUCAUAUAAAGGGUUCAUUUACUUGUCACUUGUUUCUUUUGCAGAAAAGUGCGCAAAGGCACUAUAAUCAUCAAGAUUCCGAAUAUAUGGCUAACCAGAAGAGAGAAGGGCAUGAAAGAAAUACGUCAAGGACUUCAGUGAGAAGAAAAGAAGUAUCCAAGGGAGCAAACUAAAAGAAGAAGGGGAUCUUCUUGGGAAGAAAUGAAUAGAAGAGGAGGGCCAAAUCAUAAAAGUGGCAGAUCAGAUGGGGAUCAAAAUCCCUAGAUGCAUCCAUUCCCAAAUCGGGCCUGGCUACACCUCUCUCUCCCUCACCUCUCCUCCAGCUCCGGCCGCUGCCACGGCCAGGCCGGCGUGGUGGUGCGCCUCCCAUCCAUCAGCGCCGCAAGCCAUCACCAUCUCCAUCCAUCUCCACGCACCAUCCAUCAACGCCGCCACCAGCGCCGCAUCACCACCUCGCACCCCCAGCACAUCACACCACGAGCUCCUCACUGAACCUCCUGCCACCGAUCUGAAGCUCUUGUUCUUCUCUCAACGCCCCUGAUGCUCCUUCUCCUUGCACCUCCUUGUUGCUGCUCUUCCCCUCCUUUUCUGCUACUCAAAUCUCUCUGCUGCUCCCUCACGCUCCUGCCUGCCGCUGCUCUUUCUCUAACCUCCCCACGCCUCUGCUCUGCUUCCUCACCUCCAUUGCUGCUCCCUUCUUCUCAACGUGACCUGCUGCCGCACCUUCUGCUCCUUAUCUCCUUCUUCAACCUGCUGCUGCUCGCCCUCAACCCUCUCUGCUGCUUUUCUUCUCCCUCAACGCCUGCUGCUGAUUCCUCUCAACGCCCCCUACUACUUCUUUCUUCUUCCACCUGCUGCUGCUUCUCUUUAGAUCCACAAAAACUGCUGCUGCUGCUCUCUCUCUCUCUCUCUGAAUUUUCUAUAAGCUAAGAUGUGUAAAAUUUUGUAAUAUUCAGAUUUUUAAGAGUGUUGGCAACAUGUAGCUUGUUCUGUUUGGUACUUGUAAUAUAUAAUGCUUGUCUUGAAUUUCUGUAGGCUGUGAGAAAUAAUUGUCCUUGAAAUCUUGCUCUGUGAUUUAGUAACCUUCUAGUAUAUUUGUGUGAUCACCUUGUGUACUAGUCCCUGUACUAGUUCUCUGUACUUAUCCUAUUUGUAGUCUCUGUGUGUGUUAGCUCUAGUACCUGUGAUAUGUAUGAGUGUUUGUGUUGUGAUAUAUUUCUGUCCCUAUCAUAUUAGCUUGUUUCUUUCCUUCUGUCAUUGCUUGUUAUAUAUGUCUAUGUUUUUUUGAACUCCCUUAUCAUUGUUGCUAGUAUUGUAGUUCUCAAGUAAAACGAAAACACAAAAAAAUACAUUGAGUAAAAUCUGAACCUUCUUGUGCUGUUUGCAUUUUAUCACUGUUUUCACCACCCAAUUGUGUCACCUAGAUUUAGUCGAGCAUAGUCGUCGUCGCCUAGUCCCUGAGGAGAACACAACAUCCGUAGUUUGGGGCGUAAAAACCCCACUAUACUUUCAAUAGAUCAUUUUGGCGCCGUUGCCGGUGACUAGCGUCGAGCGAUUGUGCGAAGCUAUAGACUAGGCUUAGUAUAGUUUUUGUUUAAAUUUCCAGUCAAAUUUAUUUCUGUGUUUCUUUUACCUUUUUACUUUUUGUUGCUUCGGCUUAUUAGGAUACUAACCCUCUCACCAAUGUUUGAUGUUUGUGAGCGUGUGUAGGAUAUCUUAUUAUUUGUAGGCUGAUUAACAGUUUCACUUGAACAUAUGGCUUUAGUACGCGAUCUUUGGUUGCCAAGUAGUUUGGACACGAUGACAGGGCCAAUUUGGCCAUCUAUUGAGGCCGAAAAUUUUGAGUUGAGGCCUGGACUUAUUGCUCUCGUCUUGUAGAAUCAGUUUAGAGGAUUACCCAAUGAAGACCCUCAUGAGCAUAUUAGUAAUGUUCUGGAGUAUGCCAAUACAGUCCAGUAUCAUGGCGUUUCCCAAGAUGCUAUCAAGUGUAUGUUGUUCACAUUCUCUCUCCGAGAUGCUGCUAAGGACUGGUACUAUUCUUUGCCAUCAAGAUCAUACACUUGGGGUGAUAUUUCACAAGCUUUCCUGCAUAGAUAUUUUUCACUUUAUAAGCAAGCUGCAAUUCGUGACCAGAUCCUCAGUUUUGCGCAAGAUGGUAGUGAGAGCUUGUAUGCAGCUUGAGAGAGAUAUAAGUAUUUGCUUAGAAAAUGUCCUAAUCAUGGGCAAAAGGAUUGGUUAGUGCUUCAGAUAUUCUAUAGAGGGCUGACACAUGCUUCAAGAGAUCGUAUUGAUAUGUCAGCUGGUGGAACAAUCAUGAACAAGACCGUUGAGGGUGCAAUUAUUCUCAUUGAGAGCACUGCCUUCCACCAAAUGCAAUGGGGUUAUGAAAGGCCUAGUUCAAAUCUGAAGGUUGCAAGCCUCGUGCAAUCAGAAGUCGUGUGUUCCAUAAGUGAACAGAAAUCAUCCAUGGCGCCUAAUAUUCAAAACCAGCAUGUUUCAUUCUGGGGACAACAACAUUUCAUAAUUGAAUUAGAUCCUCCAUAUAGAAAGAUUGAUCUUACUUCAAUUAUCCUUGAUGAUGAUUAUGACAUUUUUCAAGAUGAUGAAACUACUGUAGAUCAGAUGGAAACCACAGUAGCAGAUCCAAUACCUCAUGGCAAUGAAACUGUCCAGAAUGAGUCAAAGUUGCAAGAAGAUGUUUAUGAGGAACCUACUCUGAUUGAUGCUAAGUUGAGACAACAAGAUAUGGAGAAAUUCAUUUGUGUUAGUCAACUAUGUGACUGGUGGAAUUUAGUCGUGUCACCAAUUGCCCACACUUGUGUUUCAACUGUACCUGGGCUAUUUGUCAAGAAGAAAUCAUUAGCUCCACCGGUGGUUGCCUCUAUCACAGUUAAAGAAAGUAUCUCAGAGAAGAAUAAUGAAGAUGAGAUUCCAACUCCUGCACAUACAACUAAGCAAGUCGGAGACAUUCCAAGGAGAGAGAUACAAGAGGUUGAGUCAAAUUUAGAAGAGUCGAUACUUCAAUAUCCUGAGAAGAUCCCACAUGUUGUUGAGCUGCAUGACUGGUGGAAGUCAUCAGUGUCACUGUUGAAACUUAGCAGUGAUGGUGAUGAGGAGAACAUUGCUCAGAAAGACAGCAAGGUAGUGAUCUCAGCACCCCUACCAGAUCAUGUUAGUGAAUAUUCACAGAUGGGGACACUUCAGACUCAAUUAAGUGUUGCUGGUUGUAGCACCAUAGAAGAUCCAGAGGAAGAGAGUCCUCAACUUGAAGAAGAUUUACAAGAAGACAAGGAACAAGAUGAUCAAGAGCUGCAAUUUCCAAGUGAUCAAGUUGAAGACUCAUCAUCUACUAUUUCUAAAGAAGUUCAGGAAGCUGCUGUAAAUCAAGAUGAAGAACCUGAGAUUCAUUGGCCUAUUGUCAUACAUGAACCUGAUGUGUCAGGUUUACCCAAUCCUCUUGAUGACAUGCUGCCUUGUGAUUUCUUUGCUUCUAACUUGCAUUGCAUGAUGCCAUCACUUAAGGUAGAUUUGAAAAAUUGUUUGCUUGGACAUGAUCAUACACACCCUGUUAGUGGCGUUGCUCAUAUCUCUGUUCAUGAUACUUAUGUUCCUGAUGCUAUACCCAUGCUUAAUGAAACGUGUGAUUCUAAUACUAGCAUUGAGCUUACUGAUUUGUACCAUCCUAAACAUGUGCUUUAUAGCUAUGCUUAUGUAAUUGGGUACUCUAUUGAUGAUUUAGAGGGCAUUACCCCUUUCACUUGUAUGGUCUCUUUUGUCGAGUGCUCUUUCAGGUUUUUGCUACUGCACCGUUCACUACAUGCUGACCAAGUUCGAGGUGACAUUCCUUGGGACCCCGGUGGAUUUAGAGCAUGGUGAAGAGGAGAAGCAAUGGGCACAUACAAGGAAGAGAAAAGAUGGAGCAUGCACGAGGAUAGAGAGCAUGAGGAUAGAGAAGUAAAAGGAGAGGAGCUGCAGUUGGUGAGGUGAUGGAGCGAGUUCUACUUCAUAAAGCCCGGUGAGCUGUUUCAUGACCCCAGUCUGAAUAUAUCAUCCAUUGAUACAUGCUGAAAUCAAUUGCUAUUUGAGUUGCUUAAGCCAUUUCUUAAAUAAUGUCCCACUGAAUUUUAUUUGACAUAUGGUGCUUGAUGUGAAUUUGUAACUGAUUUGUGAAUGCCUUGUAAACUAGUGAUCUACAUUCUGCAUGCUUUGCUGUAAUUAGUGAAGGUUAUUAGUUUUGAGUGCUCAAAUCCCUAGUACAUUAGAAAACUUCAUCAUUUUCUGCAUUUACUUUGAUACACCUAGAUCAUCAAGUGUCAGAUGCUGAAUUUGUGCUAAGUGUGUUCCUAUUGAGAGCAAUCACCUAACCACUAUGGAUUAGCAUGCUAUGUUCCCUGGAUCGGUAGUAUGUGAACCAGACAUGGAUGAGUGAUGAUUCUUGUUUUUGUUCAUUUGAAAAGUAAAAAAAAACUAUAUCUUAUAAUGAAUGAAUAAGUCUGAUUCUUCGGAGGAUGACGAUCUUAACAUAUUUAUGAUCUUCAAGACUUCUCUUCAAAUAAUCGGCGUAAGAGGGCACUCCGCGACCUCGCCGAAAUUCACGAAGUAACCACAAUGAGCCCAUGGAACGACACGGCAAUAACCUUCAUCGUCGACGACGAACCAAGGGCCCGAUCAGUCCGAGCACACGCUUCCUUGGUUCUAAACCCUAUUGUGGACGGCUUUCGACUUACCAAAGUGCUCAUGGACGGCGACAGUGGGCUUAACCUCAUCUACGACGACACGCUCGAAAAAAUGCACAUUGACAAAACACACAUCGAGCAAAGCAAUACCACCUUUCGAGGCAUCAUCCCCAGUCGAGAAGCACGAUGUUCGGGGACAAUCAAACUGGAUGUAGUAUUCAGCACGCCUGAGAACUACAGGUCCGAAGAGUUGCUCUUCCACGUGGCUCCCUUUAAUAGCGGAUAUCACGCCCUUUUGGGACGGGACGCUUUCUCAUGCUUCCAAGCCAUACCCCAUUACGGGUACAUGAAGCUUAAAAUGCCAGGGCCCAACGGAAUAAUCACAUUUAGGAGUGAUCUGGAUAAAGCACUCGGCGCCGAAAACAAAAACGCAACCUUGGCUCUUAAGACACUAUCCAAAGCCCUUGCGGCCGAAGAACUAACCACCCUGUGAUCCACGGUGGACAAGGAUGAUGUGAUUCUCGAUAAGAUACCUAAAUCCACUUCUUUCAAGCUAGCAGAUGAAAUAAUUAAAUUCAAAGUACACCAAAUGGAUCCUAAUAAAACAACAUCCAUUGGAGCACAGCUGGAUCCGAUGGUAGAUGCCGCCCUAGGCGUGUUCCUACGCGAAAAUUGGUAUAUCUUCGCUUGGCACCCUUCGGACAUGCCCGGGAUCCCACGCAGACUGGCCGAACACAACCUCAACAUAAUCAAAGGGUUCAAACCAGUCAAGCAAACGCUACGAUGAUUUUUCGAACACAAACGACAAGCUAUGGGGGAGGAGCUAGCCAAACUACUCGAGGUCGGGUUCAUCAGAGAAAUCAAACACCCGGAUUGGCUAGCCAACUUGGUCAUGGUGCCGAAGAAGGAUAAAUCUUGGCGCCUUUGUGUCGAUUUUCAAGACCUCAAUAAGGUUUCCCCAAAGACCAUUUUCUGUUGCCCUGCAAUGACCAGAUUAUCGACGCGAUUGUGGGACACGGCUCAUUGUGUUUCCUCGAUGCUUACUCUGGAUACCAUCGGAUUAAAAUGAAGGAGGCCGACCAGGCCGCUGCAGCGUUCAUUACCCCGUACGAGCCUUUUUGUUUCAACACUAUGCCUUUUGGGCUUAAAAACGCGGGUGCCACUUACCAACGCAUGAUUCAAACAUGUUUGGAAAAACAAAUCGGUAAGAUAGUGGAAGCAUAUGUGGGUGACACGUCACCGUCGUAUCUACUUUUCCAAACACUUUUGCCCUUGUUUUGGACUCUAACUUGCAUGAUUUGAAUGGAACUAACCCGGACUGACGUUGUUUUCAGCAGAAUUGCCGUGGUGUUAUUUUUGUGCAGAAAUAAAAGUUCUCGGAAUGACCUGAAAAUCAACGGAGAAUUAUUUUGGAAUAUAUAAAAAUACUGGAAGAAAGAUCCAUGUCAGGGGGGCCUCCACCUGUCCACGAGGGUGGGGGCGCGCCCCUUGCCUCGUGGGCCCCAUGACGCUGCACCGCUCUCAACCCUAACUCCAUAUAUUCACUUUCAGGGAGAAAAAACCAGAGAGAAGAAUUCAUCACGUUUUACGAUACGGAGCCGCCGCCAAGCCCUAAACUCUCUCGGGAGGGCUGAUCUGGAGUCCGUUCGGGGCUUUGGAGAGGGGAAUCCGUCGCCAUCGUCAUCAUCAACCUUUCUCCAUCACCAAUUUCAUGAUGCUCACCGCUGUGCGUGAGUAAUUUCAUCGUAGGCUUGCUGGAUGGUGAUGGGUUGGAUGAGAUUUAUCAUGUAAUCGAGUUAGUUUUGUUAGGGUUUGAUCCCUAGUAUUUACUAUAUUCUGAGAUUAAUGUUGCUAUGACUUUGCUAUGCUUAAUGCUUGUCACUAGGGCCCGAGUGUCAUGAUUUGAGAUCUGAAUCUAUUAUGUUUUCACCAAUAUAUGAGAGUUCUUGAUCCGAUCUUGCAAGUCUAUAGUCACCUAUUAUGUGUUAUGAUCCGUUAACCCCGAAGUGACAAUAAUCGGGAUACUUACAGGUGAUGAUCGUAGUUUAAGGAGUUUAUGUAUUCACUAAGUGUUAAUGUUUUGUUCUGGUACUCUAUUAAAAUGGGGCCUUAAUAUCCCUUAGUUUCCAAUAGGAUCCCGCUGCCACGGGAGGGUAGGACAAAAAAUGUCAUCCAAGUUCUUUUCCAUAAGCACGUAUGACUAUAUUCGGAAUACAUGCCUACAUUACAUUGAUGAACUGGAGCUAGUUUUGUGUCACCUAGGUUAUGACUGUUACAUGAUUGAUCACAUCUGGCAUAAUUCUCCAUCACCGAUUCAAUGCCUACGAGCUUUUCAUAUAUUGUUCUUCGCUUAUUUACUUUUCCGUUGCUACUGUUACAAUCACUACAAAACCCAAAAAUAUUACUUCUGCUAUCGUUACCUUUUUCCACCGUUACCACUACUACCAUAUUGCUUUGCUACUAAAUACCUUGCUGCAGAUAUUAAGUUUCCGGCUGUGGUUGAAUUGACAACUCAGCUGCUAAUACUUAAGAAUAUUCUUUGGCUCCCCUUGUGUCAAAUCAAUAAAUUUGGAUUGAAUACUCUACCCUCGAAAACUGUUGCGAUCCCCUAUAAUUGUGGGUUAUCAAGAACAUUUUCUAGUGCCGUUGCCGGGGAGCAUAACUCUAUUCUUUGAGUCACUUGGGAUUUAUAUCUGCUUAUCAUUAUGAAGAACUUGAAAGAUCAAAGAACUAAGAUUUUUCCCUCAACUACGAGGGAAGGUAACAAACUGCCAUCUAGCUCUGCACUCGAUUCACCUUCUGUUUUGAGUAAGCUUGCGACACCUAAACCUGCUUCUGCUAUUAAUUCUGAUAUGUCGCUGAUACGUCUUCAAUGUAUCUAUAAUUUUUGAUUGUUCCAUGCUAUUAUAUUAUCAACCUUGGAUGUUUUAUAUUCAUUUAUAUGAUAUUUUAUAUGAUUUUUGGGACUAACCUAUUAACCUAGAGCCCAGUGCCAGAUUCUGUUUUUCCCCUUGUUUUAGAGUAUCGCAGAAAAGGAAAAUCAAACGGAGCCCAAUUGACCUGAAACUUCACGAAACUUAUUUUUGGACCAGAAGAAGCCCACGGAGUAUCAGAGAUGGACCAGAAGAGUCCUGGGCUGCCCAUGAGGAUGGGGUCCGCACCCACCCCCCUGGGCGCGCCCCCCUGCCUCGUGGACAGCCCGGAGAUCCACCGACAUACUUCUUCCUCCUAUAUAUAUACCCAUAUACCCUAAAACCUUCGGGGAACAGAAUAGAUCGGGAGUUCCGCCGCCAGAAGCCUCCGUAGCCAUCGAAAACCAAUCUAGACCCGUUCCGGCACCCUGCCGAAGGGGGAACCCCUCAUCGGUGGCCAUCUUCAUCAUCCCGGCGCUCUCCAUGACAAGGAGGGAGUAGUUCUCCCUCGGGGCUGAGGGUAUGUACCAGUAGCUAUGUGUUUGAUCUCUCUCUCUCUCUCUCUCGUGUUCUUGAGGUGGUACGAUCUUGAUGUAUCGCGAACUUUGCUAUUAUAGUUGGAUGUUAUGAUGUUUCUCCCCCUCUACUCUCUUGUAAUGAAUUGGGUUUUCCCUUUGAAGUUGUCUUAUCAGAUUGAGUCUUUAAGGAUUUGAGAACACUUGAUGUAUGUCUUGCACGUGCUUAUCUGUGGUGACAAUGGGAUAUCAUGUGAUCCACUUGAUGUAUGUUUUGGUGAUCAACUUGCGGGUUCCGCCCAUGAACCUAUGCAUAGGGGUUGGCACACAUUUUUGUCUUGACUCCGGUAGAAACUUUGGGGCACUCUUUGAAGUACUUUGUGCUGGUUUGAAUAGAUGAAUCUGAAAUUGUGUGAUGUAUAUCGUAUAAUCAUACCCACGGAUACUUGAGGUGACAUUGGAGUAUCUAGGUGACAUUAUGGUUUUGGUUGACUUGUGUCUUAAGGUGUUAUUCUAGUACGAACUCUAUGAUAGAUUGAACGGAAAGAAUAGCUUCAUUAUUUUACUACAGACUCUUGAAUAGAUUGAUCAGAAAGGAUAACUUUGAGGUGGUUUCGUACCCUACCAUAAUCUCUUCGUUUGUUCUCCGUUAUAGUAACUUUGGAGUGACUCUUUGUUGCAUGUUGAGGGAUAGUUAUAUGAUCCAAUUAUGUUAUUAUUGUUGAGAGAACUUACACUAGUGAAAGUAUGAACCCUAGGCCUUGUUUCCUAGCAUUGCAAUACUGUUUGUGCUCACUUUUAUCAUUAGUUACCUUGUUGUUUUCAUAGUUUUAGAUUUCAAAAACCUAUAUCUACCAUCCAUAUUGCACUUGUAUCACCAUCUCUUCACCGAACUAGUGCACCCAUACAAUUUACCAUUGUAUUGGGUGUGCUGGGGACACAAGAGAUUCUUUGUUAUUUGGUUGCAGGGUUGCUUGAGAGAGACCAUUUUCAUCCUACGCCUCCCACGGAUUGAUAAACCUUAGGUCAUCCACUUGAGGGAAAUUUACUACUGUCCUACAAACCUCUGCACUUGGAGGCCCAACAACAUCUAUAAGAAGAAGGUUGUGUAGUAGACAUCAGUCGCAUGUUAUUGAUGAUGCCACUUCUGCUAUGCAUGAUACUUAUGAUGAAACUACUUCCAUGCUUGAUACUACUAUGCCACUAGGUGAAUUUCUUUAUGAACAACUUGCUAGGGCUAGAGAGAAUGAAAUUAUUGAAACUAAUAAUAUUGAUAAAAGUGAUGAUGAAGAUUCUCCCCCUAGAUAUGAAUUACCUGUUAUUCCUGAGGGUUAUGUUAUGGAUGAAGAAACUGCUAGAGACUUUCUUGCUUGCAAUAAUAGGAGUGAUCUUAAGAAACAUUUAGCUAAGCUGAAACAAAAAACUUUGAAUGCUAGAAUGAAAUAUGAUCCUGCUUAUGCUACUUCACCUAUCUUUGUUACCGAUAAGGAUUAUGAUUUCUCUGUUGAUCCUGAGUUAAUUACUUUGGUUAAAUCUGAUCAUUUCUAUGGCUAUGAAUCUGAAACUGUUGUGUCACAUCUUACUAAAUUAAAUGAUAUAGCUGCCCUGUUCACUAAUGAUGAGAAAAGUCGCUACUAUUAUAUCCUUAGAUUAUUUCCGUUCUCAUUAAAGGGUGAUGCUAAGAUAUGGUUUAGUUCUCUUGAUCCUGGUUGUGUGCGUAGUCCCCAGGAUAUGAUUUACUACUUCUCUGCUAAAUAUUUCCCCGCUCAUAAGAAACAAGUUGCUUUAAGGGAGAUAUAUAAUUUUGUGAAAAUUGAAGAAGAGAGUCUCCCACAAGCUUGGGGGAGGCUUCUCCAAUUACUUAAUGCUUUGCCUGAUCAUCCUCUCAAGAAAAAUGAAAUACUUGAUAUCUUUUAUAAUGGACUAACCGAUGCUUUCAGAGACUACCUGGAUAGUUGUGUUGGUUGUGUUUUCAGGGAAAGAACAUUUGAUCAAGUUGAAUUUCUAUUGAAUAAUAUGUUGACUAAUGAAAAUAAUUGGACACUUCCUGAACCAACUCCUAAGCCAACUUCGAAGAAAAGGGGUAUUAUAUUUCUCGGUCCUGAAGAUAUGCAAGAGGCAAAGAAAUUUAUGAAAGAAAAAGGUAUUAAAGCUGAAGAUGUUAAGAAUUUACCUCCUAUUGAAGAAAUACAUGGUCUUAAUUUGCCGCCUGUUGAAGAAACACAUGGUCUCCAUAACCCGACACAUGUAGUAAAGGUAAUUUCUCUCUAUAGAUAUGAUAAAGCUGAAAUCCCUCCUGCUAAGUUUGCUAGCCAAUGUUUGGAUGAAUUUGAUAACUUUAGGGUUAAGUAAGAAGAUUUUAAUGCUUAUGUUGGUAGACAAUUGAAACAUAAUGCUUACAUGAUUGAAUACUUGAGUGAUUAUAUGGCUAAUGUUAAAGGUGAACUUAAACUUAUUAGUAAACAUGCUUCUAUGGUUACCACUCAAGUAGAACAAGUACUUAAAGCUCAAAAUGAUUUGCUCAAUGAAUUAAAUAGUAAGAAAAAUAAUGACUAUGCUGUUAGAGUUGCAACUAGAGGAGGUAAAGUGACUCACGAACCUUUGUAUCCUGAAGGCCACCCUAAGAGAAUUGAGAAAGAUUCUCAGAGAGCUAAUAUAGAUGCACCUAGUCCUUCUAAGAGGAAGAAAAAGAAAAAUGAUAGGACUUUGCAUGCUUCUAGUGAACCUGUUAUUGACACACCUGAGAAUCCCAAUGAUAUUUCUAUUUCUGAUGCUGAAACACAAUCUGGUAAUGAACAUGAACCUAGUGAUAAUGUUAAUGAUGACGUUCAUGUUGAUGCUCAACCUAGCAAUGACAAUGAUGUAGAUAUUGAACCUGUUGUUGAUCUUGAUAACCCACAAUCAAAGAAUCAACGUUAUGAUAAGAGAGACUUUGUUGCUAGGAAGCACAGUAAAGAAAGAGAACCAUGGGUUCAGAAACCCAUGCCUUUCCUCCUAAACCAUCCAAGAAAAGGGAUGAUGAGGAUUUUGAGCGCUUUAUUGAAAUUUUUAGACCUAUCUUUUUGCGUAUGCGUUUGACUGAUAUGCUUAAAAUGAAUGCUUAUGCUAAAUACAUGAAGGAAAUAGUUACUAGUAAAAGAAAGAUACCGGAAGCUGAAAUUUCCACCAUGCUUGCUAAUUAUACUUUUAAGGGUGGAAUACCAAAGAAACUUGGAGAUUCAGGAGUACCAACUAUACCAUGCUCCAUUAAAAGAAACUAUGUUAAAACUGCUUUAUGUGAUCUUGGAGCCGGUGUUAGUGUUAUGCCUCUCUCUUUAUAUCGUAGACUUGAUUUGAAUAAGUUGACACCUACUGAAAUAUCUUUGCAAAUGACUGACAAAUCAACUGCUAUACCUGUCAGUAUUUGUGAGGAUGUGCCUGUUGUGGUUGGAAAUGUUACUAUUUUAACAAACUUUGUUAUUCUUGAUAUUCCUGAGGACGAUAGUAUGUCUAUUAUUCUUGGAAGACCCUUUUUGAAUACUGCAGGGGCUGUUAUUGAUUGCACCAAAGGCAAUGUCAUUUUUCAUGUUAAUGGUAAUGACCAUACGGUACACUUUCUGAGGAAACAACCUCAAAUUCACAGUAUCAAUUCUAUUGCAAAAAUUUCAACAAUCAAUAUUGGAGGUUUUGAAUUUCCUCUUCCUACUGUCAAGAAGAAAUAUGAUAUUCUUAUUGUUGGGGACAUGCAUAUCCCCAUUGAGGUAACCUAGUGUUAUUCGAAAAUUCUCCGGUUCCAUGUUAUUCGGAAUGAGUUUGUUAACAAGACCUGAUCAACCUUGUUAGUGGAUUCCUUUUGAUGAGUAUGAGGUGGAUUAAUUUAGAAAACACAACUCUCUGUACCCUCUUUUUAAUUUCUAUUAUUUAUAUUAAAUAAAGCAAAAAUAGUAUUUUUCUGUCUGUUUUCUGAAUUAUCAAUGCAAUAAAAAAUACCCCGAAAAUAAAAGUUCUCCAAAUGCACUGAAAAUUAAAUAUGAUUUUUUCUAGAAUAUUUGAGAAUAUCUGGCACUGAGAACACACCAGGGGGAGCAAGCACCUGGCCACGAGGGCCCAGGGCGUGCCCCCUGCCUCGUGGGCUCAUGGUGGCUCCCCUCCACUUAUUCCAGCUACCAUACACUCCUUCUUCCUCCCACAAACAUCACUAGCCAGCUCAAACCCGAGUCCAAGCUCAUCUUGCUUCCAUUUUCGAUCUCCUUGUUCAAAGCUCCAUUCACAAAACUGCUUUGGGGGAUUGUUCUUUGGUAUGUGACUCCUCCAAUGGUCCAAUUAGUUUUUGUUCUAGUGCUUUAUUCAUUGCAUAUUUUUGCUGCUUAGGUGACCCUGUUCUUGAGCUUGCAUGCCAAAUUUAUGUGGUCAAAAGUAGUUUUGAUGCAUGAUAUUGCCUCUAGGCACUUGUAAGAGUAGUUGCUAUCAAUAUUGUUGAGUUUGGUUCACUUUUAUUUUGAAGUUACUAAAAAUUUCAGAAAUUUUUCAGAGGAAGAAACAUGUUUAGGAAAAUGUACCAAGGUGGUUCUUCAAGGAAGCAAGCACCCAGACUCGUAAUACGCGAUGCGGACGAGGAACCACCAAGGGAUGCUCAAGUGCGGCCCUGUGAAUGGCCGUCGGAGGACUUCAUGAUUCAAGCAGGAAUCAAGGAGGAAUUUGAUGCAUAUGUGCGUAAUGUUGAUCUUGAGAGCUUCGAGGCAGAUAAGUGUCAUCCAUACCUCUAUUUAACUGAUUCAUUUGUGGGAAGGUUUAAAUUUUCUUCGUCACACAAUUGUUAAACUGUCCUGUUUGAUCUUUAUGAUAAAUCUUAUACAAUGGACCUAGAAGAUUUUACCACUGCUUGUAAAGUUCCACAGUGGGGUGAUGUUAGUGAACCUCACAAAUCUGAAUUUAGAGAUUUUCUUGCUAGUAUAACUGUGAGGAAAUCUAGAGAUGUGACGCAAGCUACCAUAGGGAUCAUUUAUUUUCCUGCUAUACAUUAUUCUGCUCUCUUCAUAGGUAGAUGCAUUAAUGGUAAAGAUGAAGCAUGUUACAUGUGUGUGCCUGAUCUUAGCGUUCUCAGAAGCGCUAUUUUAGGAGAUAAACAAUACAACUUGGGGGCUAUCAUUGCACGUAGGUUGCAUAAUAAUCGUAUUCAUGGAGAUUUCUUUGGUGAAAUUUAUGCAACCCGUAUAGCUAACUUUCUUGAGAUACCCAUACGUGGACAUGAUAUUGAGUUGCCUCCUUCUUAUCUAGAUUACGAGGCUAUGGUUCUUCAUCAGUUUGUUGAGAGGAACGAUCAGUUCCUCCAGUACCGACUAAUCUUUGACAGACAACGCACCUAUCACGUCGCUCUCCCUGCUCCUACUUUCUUUGACUUUCAGGCAAAGGGGAGAUAUGUUAUAACCAGGGAGGAGGUGACCGAGUAUGAGAUGAGGGCGAAGACAGCUCGCCUCCAAGCUGCAGCGCAUCAGGCAAUUGCCGCUGCAUCUCAGUACGACCCCAGCUACAACUUUGGGUAUCUUCCAGGCCAUCCGUGGCCAUAGACCAACUUAGGCCGAAAGCCUAAGCUUGGGGAGUACGUAUUUCUCACCGGCAUUACAUUCAUAUUCACACACUCAUGCUAGUUGUCGGUGCUCAUACUUUUUCAUUGUAAUAUCCAUGCUAGUUUAUUUCCCUUUUAUGCUUUCUCCUUGUGUGUAUGAAAAACCUUAAGAAAAAAACAAAAAAAAUUAGUUGUAGCUUUUAGCUAGUUUACUUUUCAUGCCUGUAGUAGUAAUAAUUAAAAAGAAACCCCAAAAAGAUUUCUCGUUCUUCUUUUGCUUGUUGGGAGCUUUCCCGUGUAAAUAAUUUUAUUUCUUUUCUUGUUCUUUGGGGGUCGAGAGGAGAAGACCAUAUUGAAAAUGUUGAGUGGCUCUUAUAUGUGAUAACCCACAAGUAUAGGGGAUCGCAACAGUUUUCGAGGGUAGAGUAUUCAACCCAAAUUUAUUGAUUCGACACAAGGGGAGCCAAAGAAUAUUCUCAAGUAUUAGAAGCUGAGUUGUCAAUUCAACCACACCUAGAAACUUAAUAUCUGCAGCAAAGUAUUUAGUAGGAAAGUAAUAUGAUAGUAGUGGUAAUGAUAGCAAAAGGUAAUGAUAACAGAAGUAAUGUUUUUGGUGUUUUGUAGUGAUUAUAGCAAUAGCAACGAAAAAGUAAAUAAGUGAAGAACAAUAUAUGGAAAGCUCGUAGGCAAUGGAUCGGUGAUAGAGAAUUAUGCCGGAUGCGGUUCAUCAUGUAACAGUCAUAACCUAGGGUGACACAGAACUAGCUCCAAUUCAUCAAUGUAAUGUAGGCAUGUAUUCCGAAUAUAGUCAUACGUGCUUAUGGAAAAGAACUUGCAUGUCAUCUUUUGUCCUACCCUCCCGUGGCAGCGGGGUCCUAGUGGAAACUAAGGAUAUUAAGGCCUCCUUUUAAUAGAGUACCGGACCAAAGCAUUAACACAUAGUGAAUACAUGAACUCCUCAAACUACGGCCAUCACCGGGAGUGGUCCCGAUUAUUGUCACUUCGGGGUUGCCGGAUCAUAACACAUAGUAGGUGACUAUAGACUUGCAAGAUAGGAUCAAGAACUCUCAUAUAUUGAUGAAAACAUAAUAGGUUCAGAUCUAAAAUCAUGGCACUCGGGCCCUAGUGACAAGCAUUAAGUAUAGCAAAGUCAUAGCAACAUCAAUCUCAGAACAUAGUGGAUACUAGGGUCAAACCCUAACAAAACUAACUCGAUUACAUGAUAAAUCUCAUCCAACCCAUCACCGUCCAGCAAGCCUACGAUGGAAUUACUCACGCAUGGCGGUGAGCAUCAUGAAAUUGGUGAUGGAGGAUGGUUGAUGAUGACGAUGGCGACGGAUUCCCCUCUCCGGAGCCCAGAACGGACUCCAGAUCAGCCCUCCCGAGAGGUUUUAGGGCUUGGCGGCGGCUCCGUAUCAUAAAAUGCGAUGAAUCAUUCUCCCUAUUUUUUUCUCCCCGAAAGUGAAUAUAUAGAGUUGGAGUUGAGGUCGGAGGAGCUCCAGGGGGCCCACGAGGUAGGGGGCGCGCCCAGGGGGGCAGGCGCGCCUCCUGAUAUGUCUCCAACGUAUCUAUAAUUUUUCAAUUGCUCCAUGCUAUAUUAUCUACUGUUUUAGACAUUAUUGGGCUUUAUUAUCCACUUUUACAUUAUUUUUGGGACUAACCUAUUAACCGGAGGCCCAACCCAGAAUUGCUGUUUUUUGCCUGUUUUAGGGUUUCGAAGAAAAGGAAUAUCAAACGGAGUCCAAACGAAAUGAAACCUUCGGGAACAUGAUUUUCUUAUCGAAUACAACUCAAGAGACUUGGACCCUACGUCAAGCCAAUCAACAGGAGGCCACGAGGUAGGGGGCGCGCCUGCCCCCCAAGCGUGCCCUCCACCCUUGUGGGCCCCCUGUUGCUCCACCGACGUACUUCUUCCUCCUAUAUAUACCCACGUACCUCCAAACGAUUAGCAGAGGAGCCAAAACCCUAAUUCCACCGCCGUAACUUUCUGUAUCCACGAGAUCCCUUCUUGGGGCCUGUUCCGGAGCUCCGCCGGAGAGGGCAUCGAUCACGGAGGGCUUCUACAUCAACACCAUAGCCUCUCCGAUGAAGUGUGAGUAGUUUACUUCAGACCUACGGGUCCAUAGUUAGUAGCCAGAUGGCUUCUUCUCUCUUUUUGGAUCUCAAUACAAUGUUCUCUCCCUCUCUUGUGGAGAUCUAUUCGAUGUAAUCUUCUUUUUGCGGUGUGUUUGUUGAGACCGAUGAAUUGUGGGUUUAUGAUCAAGUCUAUCUAUGAAUAAUAUUUGAAUCUUCUCUGAAUUCUUUUAUGUAUAAUUGGUUAUCUUUGCAAGUCUCUUCGAAUUAUUAGUUUGGUUUGGCCUACUAGAUUGAUCUUUCUUGCAAUGGGAGAAGUGCUUAGCUUUGGGUUCAAUCUUGUAGUGUCCUUUCCCAGUGACAGUAAGGGCAGCAAGGCACGUAUUGUAUUGUUGCCAUCGAGGAUAUCAAGAUGGGGUUUUCUUCAUACUGCAUGAGUCUAUCCCUCUACAUCAUGUCAUCUUGCUUAAGGCGUUACUCUGUUUUUAACUUAAUGCUCUAGAUGCAUGCUGGAUAGCGGUCGAUGAGUGGAGUAAUAGUAGUAGAUGCAGGCAGGAGUCGGUCUACUUGUCUCAGACGUGAUGCCUAUAUACAUGAUCAUACCUAGAUAUUCUCAUAACUAUGCUCAAUUCUGUCAAUUGCUCAAUAGUAAUUUGUUCACCCACCGUAGAAUACUUAUGCUCUUGAGAGAAGCCACAAGUGAAACCUAUGGCCCCCGGGUCUAUCUUUAUCAUAUCAAUCUCCUACUACUUAGUUAUUUACUUUUCUAUUUACUUUGAUUUUAUUUUACUCUGCAUCUUUAUCAUAAAAAUACCAAAAAUAUUAUCUUAUCAUAUCUAUCAGAUCUCACUCUCAUAAGUGGCCCUAUAGGGAUUGACAACCCCUAUUUGAGUUGGUUACGAGGAUUUAUUUGUUCUAUGCAGGUACGAGGGACUUGCGCGUAGCCUCCUACUGGAUUGAUACCUUGGUUCUCAAAAUCUGAGGGAAAUACUUACGCUACUUUGCUGCAUCAUCCCUUCCUCUUCGGGGAAAACCAACGCAGUGCUAAAAGAGGUAGCACCUCCCACCCUCGUGGCUAGGGUGUGGGCCCCCUGGUCUUGAUCUUUUGCCAGUAUUUUUUAUUAUUUCCAAAAAGACGCUCCGUGGAGUUUCAGGUCAUUCCGAGAACUUUUGUUUCUGCACAUAAAUAACACCAUGGCAAUUCUGCUGAAAACAGCGUUAGUCUGGGUUAGUUCCAUUCAAAUCAUGCAAGUUAGAGUUCAAAACAAGGGCAAAAGUGUUUGGAAAAGUAGAUACGAAAGAGACGUAUCAACUCCCCCAAGCUUAAACCUUUGCUUGUCCUCAAGCAAUUCAGUUGACAAACUGAAAGUGAUAAAUAAAAACUUUUACAAACUCUGUUUGCUCUUGUUGUUGUAAAUAUGUAAAGCCAGCAUUCAAGUUUUCAGCAAAGAUUAUAAACUAACCAUAUUCACAAUAACGACUAGGUCUCAUGUUUACUCAUAUCAAUGGCAUAAUCAACUAGCGAGCAAUAAUAAUAAAUCUCGGAUGACAACACUUUCUCAAAACAAUCAUAAUAUGAUAUAACAGGAUGGUAUCUCGCUAGCCCUUUCUGAGACCGCAAAACAUAAAUGCAGAGCACCUUUAAAGAUCAAGGACUGACUGGACAUUGUAAUUCAUGGUAAAAGAGAUCCAGUCAAGUCAUACUCAAUGUAAACUAACAGUAAUGAAUGCAAAUGACAGCGGUGCUCUCCAACUGGUGCUUUUUAAUAAGAGGAUGAUGACUCAACAUAAAAGUAAAUAGAUAGGCCCUUCACAGAGGGAAGCAUGGAUUUAUAGAGGUGCCAGAGCUCAGUUUUGAAAUAGAGGUGAAUAAUAUUUUGAGCGGUAUACUUUCAUUGUCAACAUAACAACCAAGAGAUGGCGAUAUCUUCCAUGCUACACACAUUAUAGGCGGUUCCCAAAUAGAAUGGUAAAGUUUAUACUCCCCUCCACCAACAAGCAUCAAUCCAUGGCUUGCUCGAAACAACAAGUGCCUCCAACUAACAAGAGUCCCAGGGGGAGUUUUGUUUGCAAUUAUUUUGAUUUAGUUUGCAUAAAGCAUGGGGCUGGGCAUCCCGGUGACCAGCCAUUGUCUCAUUGGUGAGGACUGGAGUCCACUCCUCUUGAGAAUAACCCGCCUAACAUGGAAGAUAUGGGCAACCCUAGUUGAUACAUGAGCUAUUCGAGCAUACAAAACAGGAUAUUUAUUUGAAGGUUUAGAGUUUGGCACAUACAAAUUUACUUGGAACGGCAGGUAGAUACCGUAUAUAGGUAGGUAUGGUGGACUCAUAUGGAAUAACUUUGGGGUUUAUGGGAUUGGAUGCACAAGCAGUAUUCCCGCUUAGUACAGGUGAAGGCUAGAAAAAGACUGGGAAGCGACCAGCUAGAGAGCGACAACAGUCAUGAACAUGCAUUAAAAUUAAUCAACACUGAAUGCAAGCAUGAGUAGGAUAUAAUGCACCAUGAACAUAAAUAUCGUAGAGGCUAUGUUGAUUUUGUUUCAACUACAUGCGUGAACAUGUGCCAAGUCAAGCCACUCAAAUUGUUCAAAAGAGGAUACCACCCUAUCAUACCACAUCACAACCAUUUUAAUAGCAUGUUGGCACGCAAGGUAAACCAUUAUAAGCUCCUACCUAAUUAAGCAUGGCAUAAGAAACUAUGAUCUCUAGUCGUCAUUGCAAACAUGUUUAUUCAUAAUAGGCUGAAUCAAGAAUGAUGAACUAAUCAUAUUUACAAAAACAAGAGAGGUUGAGUUCAUACCAGCUUUUCUCAUCUCAGUCAGUCCAUCAUAUAUCGUCAUAAUUGCCUUUCACUUGCACGACCGAACGAUGUGGAUAAUAAUAAUAGUGCACGUGCAUUGGACUAAGCUGGAAUCUGCAAGCAUUCAAUAAACAGGAGAAGACAAGGCAAUAUGGGCUCUUUUGUCAGAUCAACAAUAAUGCAUAUAAGAGCCACUUCAACAAUUUAAUCAUGGUCUUCUCCUAUCAACCCCCAAAGAAAACAAAAGAAAUAAAACUAUUUACACGGGAAAGCUCCCAACAAGCAAAAGAAGAACAGGAAAUCAUUUUGGGUUUUCUUUUUAAUUACUACUACAAGCAUGGGAAUUAAAACUAGCUAAAAGCUACAACUAAUUUUUUUGUUUUUCUUAAGGUUUAUUAAGCACACAAGAAGAAAGCAUAUAAAGAUAAAAUAAACUAGCAUGGAUAUUACAAUGAAAAAGUAUGAACACCAACAUCUAGCAAUGAGUGUGUGAACAUGAAUGUAAUGUCGGUGAGAAAUACGUACUCCCCCAAGCUUAGGCUUUUGGCCAAAGUUGGUCUAAUUCCACGGAUGGCCUGGCGGAUAUCCAAAGUUGUAGUUGGGGUCAUACUGAGAUGCAACAGUCAUUGCAUCAUGGGUUGCAGCUUGGAGGUGAGCUAUCUCAUCUCUCCUCUUAUACUCUUCCGCCUCCUCUUUGGUUAUAAAAUAUCUCCCUUUUGCCUGAAAGUCAAGGAAAGUAGAAGCAGGGAGAGCGACGUGAUAGGUGCGUCGUCUGUCAAAGAUUAGUCGGUACUGGAGGAACUGAUCGUUCCUCUCAACAAACUGAUGACGAACCAUAGCCUCAUAAUCCAAAUAAGCAGGAGGCAACUCAAUAUCAUCCUCACGUAUGGUUAUACCAAGAAAAUUAGCUAUGCGGGUUGCAUAAAUUCCACCAAAGAAAUCUCCAUUAAAUCUAUUAAGGUGCAACCUACGUGCAACAAUGGCUCCCAAAUUAUAAGAUUUAUCUCCUAACAUGGCACUCCUAAGAAUACUGAGGUCAGAGACACACAUGUGACGUGCUUCAUCUUUACCGUUAAUGCAUCUACCUAUGAAGAGAGAAAAAUAAUGUAUAGCAGGAAAGUGAAUGCUCCCUAUGGUAGCUUGUGCUAUAUCUCUAGAUUCCCCUACAGUUAUACUAUUAAGAAAAUCUCUAAAUUCAGAUUUGUGAGGUUCACUAGUACUACCCCAUUGUGGAAGUUUGCAAGCAGUGUAAAGUCCUCUAAGUCCAUAGUGUAAGAAUUUUCAUAAAGAUCAAACAAGACAGUUUGAGAAUUACGUGAAGAUGAAAAUUCAAACCUCCUCACAAAGGAGCUAGUGAGAUAGUGGUACCGAUAGCACUUUUCUUCCUCGAAGCUCACAAGAUCAGCGUUACGCAAAUAUGCGUUAAAUUCUUCCUUAAUUCCUGCUCGAUCCAUGAAGUCCUCUAAAGGCCAUUCACAAGGCCGCACUGGAGCGUCCCUGGUGGCUCAUCAUCAACAUCACGCAUUGCAAGCCUGGGUCCUUGCUUCCUUGAAGAACCACCUUGGUACAUUUUCCUAAGCAUAUUUCUUCCAAUGAAAAAUUUCUGAAAUUUUUAGUAACUUCAAAUAAAAGUAAACCAUACUCAACAAAAUUGAUAGCAACUACUCCUACAAGUGCCUAGAGCCUAUAUCAUGCAUUAGAACUACUUGGAACCAUAUAAAUUUGACAUGCAAGCUCAAGAACAGGGUCACCUAAGCAGCAAAAAUAUGCCAUGAAUAAAGCACUAGAACAAAAACUAAUUGGACCAAUGUAGGAGUCACAUACCAAGGAACAAUCCCCCCAAGCAGUUUUAUGAGAGGUGCUUUGAGCAAGGAGAUCGAAAAUGGCAGCAAAAUGAGCUUGGACCCGGGUUUGAGCUGGAUAAUGGUGUUUGGGGGAGGAAGAAGGAGCGUGUGGGUGCAGGAAUAAGUGGAGGAGGUCCACCGUUGGCCCACGAGGCAGGGGGGCGCGCCCAAGGGGGUAGGGCACGCCCUCCACCCUCGUGGCCAGGUGGAUGCCCCCCUGUUGUGUUCUCAGUGCCAAAUAUUCUCAAAUAUUCCUGAAAAAAUCAUAUUUAAAUUUUAGGGCAUUUGGAGAACAUUUAUUUUCGGGGUAUUUUUAUAUUGCACGGAUAAUUCAGAUAACAGACAGAAAAUACUAUUUUUAUUUUAUUUAAUAUAAAUAAUAGGAAGUAAAAGGAGGGUACAGAGAGUUGUGUUUUCUAAAUUCAUCCAUCUCAUGAUCAUCAAAAGGAAUCCAUUAACAAGGUUGAUCAAGUCUUGUUAACAAACUCAUUCCGAAUAACAUGGAACCGGAGAAUUUUCGAAUAACACUAGGUUACCUCAACGGGGAUAUGCACAUCCCCAACAAUAAGAAUAUCAUAUUUCUUCUUGACAGUAGGAAGAGGAAAUUCAAAACCUCCAAAAAUAAUUGAUGGAAUUUUUCCAAUAGAAUUAAUACUGUGGACUUGAGGUUGUUUACUCGGAAAGUGUGCCGUAUGCUCAUUACCAUUAACAUGAAAAGUGACAUUGCCUUUGUUGCAAUCAAUAACAGCCCCUGCAGUAUUCAAAAAGGGUCUUCCAAGAACAAUGGACAUACUAUCGUCCUCGGGAAUAUCAAGAAUAACAAAGCCCCUUAAAAUAGUAACGUUUGCAACCACAACAGGCACAUCCUCACAAAUACCAACAGGUAUAGCAGUUGAUUUAUUAGCCAUUUGCAAAGAUAUUUCAGUAGGUGUCAACUUAUUCAAAUCAAGUCUACGAUAUAAAGAGAGAGGCAUAACACUAACACCGGCUCCAAGAUCACAUAAAGCAGUUUUAACAUAGUUUCUUUUAAUGGAGCAUGGUAUAGUGGGUACUCCUGGAUCUCCAAGUUUCUUUGGUAUUCCACCCUUAAAAGUAUAAUUAGCAAGCAUGGUGGAAAUUUCAGCUUCCGGUAUCUUUCUUUUAUUAGUAACAAUUUCUUUCAUGUACUUAGCAUAAGGAUUCAUUUUAAGCAUAUCAGUUUAUCACAUAUGCAAAAAGAUAGGUCUAAUCAUUUCAACAAAGCGCUCAAAAUCCUCAUCAUCCUUUUUCUUGGAUGGUUUGGGAGGAAAAGGCAUGGGUUUCUGAACCCAUGGUUCUCUUUCUUUACCAUGUUUCCUAGCAACAAAGUCUCUCUUAUCAUAACGUUGAUUCUUUGAUUGUGGGUUAUCAAGAUCAACAACAGGUUCAAUUUCUAUAUCAUUAUCAUUGCUAGGUUGAGCAUCAACAUGAACAUUAUCAUUAACAUUAUCACUAGUUUCAGGUUCAUUACCAUAUUAUGUUUCAGCAUCAGAAAUAGAAAUAUAAUUUGGAUUCUUAGGUGUUUCAGUAAUAGGUUCACUAGAAGCAUGCAAAGUACUAUCAUUCUUCUUUUUCUUCCUUUUAGAAGGACUAGGUGCAUCUAUAUUAUUUCUCUGAGAAUCUUGCUCAAUUCUCUUAGGGUGGCCUUCAGGAUACAAAGGUUCCUGAGUCAUUUUACCAGUUCUAAUAGCCACUCUAAUAGCAAAAUCAUUAUUCUUACUAUUCAAUUCAUUGAGCAAAUCAUUUUGAGCUUUAAGUACUUGUUCUACUUGAGUGGUAACCAUAGAAGCAUGUUUACUAAUAAGUUUAAGUUCACCUUUGACAUUAGCCAUAUAAUCACCAAAGUGUUCAAGCAUAUCAGCACUGCGUUUUAAUUCUCUACCAAAAUAAGCAUUGAAGUCUUCUCGCUUAACCAUAAAUUUAUCAAACUCAUCUAAGCAUGGGCUAGCAAACUUAGUAAAUGGGAUUUCAGCUUUAUCAUAUCUAUUGAGAGAAUUUACCUUUACUACCUGUGUCGGGUUAUCAAGACCAUGUAUUUCUUCAAUAGGAGAUGGAUUAAAACUAUGCAUUUCUUCGAAGGCGGUAAAUUAAGACCAUGUAUUUCUUCAAUAGGAGGUAAAUUCUUAACAUCUUCAGCUUUAAUACCCUUUUCUUUUAUGGAUUUCUUUGCCUCUUGCAUAUCUUUAGGACUGAGAAAUAGAACACCUCUCUUCUUCGGAGUUGGUUUAGGAAUAGGCUCAGGAGUUGGCUCAGAAAGUGUCCAAUUAUUUUCAUUAGUCAACAUAUUAUUUAAUAGAAUUUCAGCUUCAUCCGGUGUUCUUUCGCUGAAAACAGAACCAUCACAACUUCCAGGUAAUCUCUGGAAGCAUCGGUUAGUCCAUUAUAAAAGAUAUCAAGUAUUUCAUUUUUCUUAAGAGGAUGAUCAGGCAAAGCAUUAAGUAAUUGGAGAAGCCUCCCCCAAGCUUGUGGGAGGCUCUCUUCUUCAAUUUGCACAAAAUUAUAUAUAUCCCUUAGGGCAGCUUUUUUCUUAUGAGCAGGGAAAUAUUUAGCAGAGAAGUAAUAAAUCAUAUCCUGGGGACUGCGCACACAACCAGGCUCAAGAGAAUUAAACCAUAUCUUAGCAUCACCCUUUAAUGAGAACGGAAAUAAUUUAAGGAUAUAAAAGUAGUGAGUUCUCUCAUCGUUACUGAACAGGGUAGCUAUAUCAUUUAAUUUAGUAAGAUGUGCCACAACAGUUUCAGAUUCAUAGCCAUAAAAAGGAUCAGAUUCAACCAAAGUAAUUAUAUCAGGAUCAACAGAGAAUUCAUAAUCCUUAUCAGUAACACAGAUAGGUGAACUAGCAAAAGCAGGGUCAGGUUUCAUUCUAGCAUUAAGGGAUUGCUGCUUCCAUUUAGCUAAUAACCUCUUUAGAUCAUAUCUAUCAUUGCAAGCUAAAAUAGCUCUAGUAGCUUCUUCAUCCAUAACAUAACCCUCAGGAACAACAUGCAAUUCAUAUUUAUUAGGGGGAGAGUCUUCAUCAUCACUUUCAUCAAUAUUACCAGUUUCAAUAAUUUCAUUCUCUCUAGCCCUAGCAAGUUGUUCAUCAAGAAAUUCACCAAGUGGCAUAGUAGUAUCAAGCGUAGAAGUAGUUUCAUCAUAAGUAUCAUGCAUAGCAGAAGUGGCAUCAUCAAUAAUAUGCGACAUAUCAGAAUCAAUAGCAGAAGCAGGUUUAGGUGUCGCAAGCUUACUCAAAACAGAAGGUGAAUCAAGUGCAGAGCUAGAUGGCAGUUCCUUACCUCCCCUCGUAGUUGAGGGAUAAAUCUUGGUUUUUGGAUCUCUCAAGUUCUUCAUAAUGAUAAGCAGAUAUAAAUCCCAAGUGACUCAAAGAAUAGAGCUAUGCUCCCCGGCAACAACGCCAGAGUCUUGAUAACCCACAAGUAUAGGGGAUCGCAAUAGUUUUCGAGGGUAGAGUAUUCAACCCAAAUUUAUUGAUUCGACACAAGGGGAGCCAAAGAAUAUUCUCAAGUAUUAGCAGUUGAGUUGUCAAUUCAACCACACCUGGAAACUUAAUAUCUGCAGCAAAGUAAUAUGAUAGUAGUGGUAACAAUAGCAAAAGGUAAUGAUAACAAAAGUAAUGUUUUUGGUGUUUUGUAGUGAUUAUAGCAAUAGCAACGGAAAAGUAAAUAAGCAAAGAAUAAUAUAUGGAAAGCUCGUAGGCAAUGGAUCGGUGAUAGAGAAUUAUGCCGGAUCCGGUUCAUCAUGUAACAGUCAUAAUCUAGGGUGACACAGAACUAGCUCCAAUUCAUCAAUGUAAUGUAGGCAUGUAUUCCAAAUAUAGUCAUACGUGCUUAUGGAAAAGAACUUGCAUGACAUCUUUUGUCCUACCCUCCCGUGGCAGCAGGGUCCUAGCGGAAACUAAGGGAUAUUAAGGCCUCCUUUUAAUAGAGUACCAGACCAAAGCAUUAACACAUAGUGAAUACAUGAACUCCUCAAACUACGGUCAUCACCGGGAGUGGUCCCGAUUAUUGUCACUUCGGGGUUGCCGGAUCAUAACACAUAGUAGGUGACUAUAGACUUGCAAGAUAGGAUCAAGAACUCUCAUAUAUUGAUGAAAACAUAAUAGGUUCAGAUCUGAAAUCAUGGCACUCGGGCCCUAGUGACAAGCAUUAAGCAUAGCAAAGUCAUAGCAACAUCAAUCUCAGAACAUAGUGGAUACUAGGGAUCAACCCCUAACAAAACUAACUCGAUUACAUGAUAAAUCUCAUCCAACCCAUCACCAUCCAGCAAGCCUACGAUGGAAUUACUCACGCAUGGCGGUGAGCAUCAUGAAAUUGGUGAUGGAGGAUGGUUGAUGAUGACGAUGGCGACGGAUUCCCCUCUACGGAGCCCCGAACAGACUCCAGAUCAGCCCUCCCGAGAGGUUUUAGGGCUUGGCGGCGACUCCAUAUCGUAAAACGCGAUGAACCCUUCUCCUUGAUUUUUUCUCCCCAAAAGUGAAUAUAUAGAGUUGGAGUUGAGGUCGGAGGAGCUCCAGGGGGCCCAUGAGGUAGGGGGGCCGCGCCCAGGGGGGCAGGCGCGCCCCCACCCUCGUGGCUAGGGUGUGGGCCCCUGGUCUUGCUCUUUUGCCAGUAUUUUUUUAUUAUUUCCAAAAAGACGCUCCGUGGAGUUUCAGGUCAUUCCGAGAACUUUUGUUUCUGGACAUAAAUAACACCAUGGCAAUUCUGCUGAAAACAACGUCAGCCCGGGUUAGUUCCAUUCAAAUCAUGCAAGUUCGAGUCCAAAACAAGGGCAAAAGUGUUUGGAAAAGUAGAUACGGCAGAGCCCAUAUUACCUUGUCUUCUCUCUUGAAUUGAAUGCUUGCAGAUUCCAGCUUAGUCCAAUGCACGUGCAAUAUUAUUAUUAUUAUCCACACUAUUCGGUCGUGUAAGUGAAAGGCAAUAAUGAUGAUUAUAUGAUGAACUUAUUGAGAUGAGAAAAGCUGGUAUGAACUCGACCUCUCUUGUUUUUGUAAAUAUGACCAGUCCAUCGUUCCUGAUUCAGCCUAUUAUGAAAGAAACAUGUUUGCAAUGACAAUUAGAGAUUGUAGUUGCUUAUGCUAUGCUUAAUUAGCUAGGAGUUUAUAAUGGUUUACCUUGCGUGCCAACAUGCUAUUAAAAUGGUUGUGAUGUGGUAUGAUAGGGUGGUAUCCUCGUUUGAACGAUUCGAGUGGCUUGACUUGGCACAUGUUCACGCAUGUAGUUGAAACAAAAUCAACAUAGCCUCUAUGAUAUUUAUGUUCAUGGUGCAUUAUAUCCUACUCAUGCUUGCAUUCGGUGUUGAUUAAUUUUAAUGCAUGUUCAUGACUAUUGUCGCUCUCUAGAUGGUCUCUUCCCAAUCUUUUUCUAGCCUUCACUUGUACUAAGCGGGAAUACUACUUGUGCAUCCAAUUCCAUAAACCCCAAAGUUAUUCCAUAUGAGUCCACCAUACCUGUGACGUCCGGAUAAUUAAGCUACAGUAAACCCCUCUUAAUGAUGCUAGGUCAUCAUAAUAAAAAGAAGAAUUAUAAAUCUCAUUUGUUUCGAACUAAGUUCAAACACUACAAAAAAAGACACUUCCGUGAUGAUACAUGUUUGUCACAGUAGGUCGCUUUUUUUGUCAUGCAUGUACAUCCAUGACAAAUUUAUGGCAGAAUCAAGAUAGUCAUACCUGUGAUGUCGUAGAAGUGUUCCAUGACAUUACCAAAAUUAUCAUCACGGAAGUGUCCACUUCCAUGACAAUAAAUCGCGCGUCACAGAAGUGCUUUCGUCAAGGGUGACCGACACGUGGCAUCCACCGUAACGGAACACCGUUAAGCUAUCGGGUCGGGUUUUGGAUCCGGUAACCCAUUAACAGCCCCGACCAAUGGGGAUUUUCCACGUGUAAAAUCAUCAUUGGCUAGAGGAAACAUGUGUCGGCUCAUCGUUGGGACAUAUUUUUUUUUGAGACAACAUCGUUGGGACAUAUGUCAUCCACUCACUGGACAGAAGGCACCUAUGAUACGUCGACACGUGGCAUGGCCCAACAGUGGCCCAUUCCUGUGAAAAGGCCGGCCCAUUUGACUUGGUCAAAAGCUGGCGGGCCGGCCCAUGGAAAGCCUAUUAACGGCCUGUUCGCAUAUAGCCCAUUUACAGCCCGCUAACCCAAGGCCCGUUAUGCCCUAUCCGAAUUAGGCCUAGUAGCGUCAUCUGGGCCGUCCAAUAUGAUUCCAGCCCGUUUUCACUUCUGGCUCAUAUAUAGCCCAUGACGUCUUUCGGCCCAUAUGAGGCCCUUUGUAACUCUUGGCCCAUUAGCGGCCCAUGCUGAAACUGGCCCGUAAUGAACAGUGUAUUACUUUACACCCAUUAACGGCCCGUGGUGAAACUGGCCCGUAAUGAACAGUGUAUCACUUUAUACCCAUUAACGGCCCGUUAUUCUGUUGGGCCGUUUCCAGCCCAAGUUAACUUUCGGCCUUCUGAGGGCCCAUUUAUUCUUGGGCUCAUUUGCAGCAUUCGGUUACUUACGGCUUGUUACUGUCAUUUUCUGUUUGUGGGCCAAAUUCAGCCCGUCGUUACAGUCGGCCCGUUUGUGGACCGUUAGUCUGUUGGGCCAUUUUCAUAGCAUCACCAAAUACAGCCUAUUAACGACCCAUUAUGGUCAGCCCAUAAAAUGUACGAUUUCCAUUAAAGGCCCAUCUACGGCCCAUUAAAGGCCCGUACAAGACCCAUAAAUGAGCCGGCGGCCCAUGGAUCCUACGAGACGUACAAGGCCCAUGGAUCCUACGAGAUGUAGAAGGCCCAUGGAUCUUACGAGAUGUAGAAGGCCCAUGGAUCCUACGAGACGUAGAAGGCCCAUGGAUCUGAUGGCCCGUGAAGGGCCAUGGUCGGGCGAAUUGGCCCCCGUUUGAACGAUAUAGCAUAUUCAAAGAAUUAUCCUACUCAAUACUAUCACCUCUAAAAAGCCUACACUAUUACAACAAAGAGAUCAAGGCAUAGAAAGGUAGAAUAAUCCUACACUAUACAAUAAAGAAAUUACAGCCGAUUAUACCCACUGGGCAUUAUGGUUCGGCACAGGUGAUAAUAAAGCAUACACAAACAACAAAUUACAUACAUUGGGCAAAUACAGCUCAUACAUCAUGGACGCGCAUCAACUUAACUCCAUUUGAACUAUAAUCUCUUCAGGAAAUAGGAUUGGCCGGAUUCAGAUAGCACAAAUUUCAGUCUGCAAAAUCUCCAAUUCCUUCAUGGUUACCUCAGUGUCUUGUUUCAUUUUUUUGACUCCUGCAUCUAAUACCUGCAUGUCCAGUCUCAACUUGUUGAUUAUACGUUGACAAUCAUGUACAUGUUGUCUUGCCACCUCUAGUUGAUGCUCGAGAACAUCAGCACAUUCCAAUUCCAAUCCAUAAUCAUUCGGUAACGGCCAUGUCGCACUGCUCGCAGAUCUUUGUGUUGAUGUCACUUCAUCCUGAAAUGUUUCUGUAAGUACACGUGACUAGGGCAAAAAUAUAGUUACAACAGUGAAGCGAACAAGAUACUAUUUUGUACUACAUGGCAAAACAGGACUAACAAUAAUGUUGCACGUCACUUUCAAAAAAAAUGUUACACAUCAUGAAGCAUAAGCAGGUGAUAUUUUAAAAAUUAUAAAAAAGAUAGUCUGUGCAGCCUGCAUACAGAAAUCCCUCUUAGCUCACCAGAGGAGCAUGAUGUUGGGGCCCAAUCGAAAACAUAGACAAGUUACAAAUUUAGACAGCAUGUUGCGUAUAAGUAAGCAAGCAGUUGGCCAUUCUGUGCCUCAAUUAAAGUCUUAGGGAGCAUAAUGAACAACAGAGGGUUUCAUACAAACAUACUACAGCAGGCAAAACUAUGCAAUCAUUAGCGUAGUAUAAACUAGAUUGUGAGCCUCAUGCAAUAAUAGUUGGUUAAUAGACUUCAAAGCUUCAGGCACACUUCGGCAGAGUAAUUAAAUGGUAAGGCCUUUAAUUAUGUCAACUAAUAGUGAUACAAGUACCGAACAUCACGCAUGAUUAUUUGGGCAUCUCAUUAACUGAGGAAAAAUAAAGCAAUUGAAAAGAGAAAAUUAACUAUGCCUGAAACAAACAAGGAAUUGAACUGUUGAGUUGCAUACAGUGACUUACCUUAGCAGGUUGAAGAGGCUCAACGCAGCUCCUACUUCUCUUGCAAGGAUCCUUCCUAACAUCUUUUACUUGGAAAUCCUCAAUCUUAUCUUCAUUGCACCCCCUCUGCAAGGUGACACAAACUAGUUACUCGUCUCCUUGGAAGAUAAAUAUGCAUACUUUCCAGUCCGUGAACACAAAAGGAUGAGAUUAUAACAAAACACCACCACAUAAUUAUGUCAACUAGUUACUCGUCUCCUUGGAAGAUAAAUAUGCAUACUUUCCUAACAUACUUGCCUACUAUAGUGUAUAGCCAAACCUUUAUGUCACCUAUGAGUUAGACAAGGCCCCAUUACAACAACCCUUAGUGUUUAAAUCGUUGACAAGCUCUGUUAGAGUGUUAGGUCAAGAAUAACAAGUAAUCAAAGCAAACAGUCCUAGUAUGGCUGGCUAAUGCAAACAAGCAAUUGAACAGAUGUGUGAGCAAAUCUUACAUAUCAAGAAAAGAAGCAAAUAAGGAGGCUUAAAGACCAUCACUUGACUGACCAGAUUUAAGGGGCAUUUAAACAUCAUGUGCAACGUAUGAACUAACAUAAACAUUGCAUAUUCCAGAUUCUACAAUGGAAUGCACAUGUGUUAGGUUAUGCCAUGUAUGAUGAUGCCUAAAUGUACAGAUAGCAGGCAUGAGUGAUUCAUCAUUGCACGCACAAUUGAAUUGCAGGUUAAGGGCCAGUUUGAUUAUGCCUUUUCAGGGCAUAUUGUCAAAAUAAGCCACAAAAGAUGUAAAGAAGUCAUUUUUGAGUUAUGGGCUUGGGCUUAACUAAUUUCGCUUUGGAGGGGGCUGUUUUGGGUAGAACCUCACUAAAAAUUGAAGGGAAGGGGAAUAGUGAAAUGACUCUGUUGUCUGCCUAUAUUACACUCAAAAUGCAACUGCUGACGCCCGUGUCACACCUGACCCUCAAGUAAAAACAAACACGCAAGCAUUCAUUGCCCUGCCAGCCAGACCGGACCUAUUAUGUAGAUGAGGGCGGUAUUGUAACUGUUGGUCUCCGUGCACCAAGGACAAAAGGGGGAUUUCACAUGCUAAAGACUAAGGUGGCGUAAAUUUUAGAAGGAGGCGGGAGAUUUUGCCGCCCGCGGGAUCGUUCGCAUCCAGUUUCAACUAAUUUUGGACCGUGUUAGCGGGAAGGUCAUGCUAGACUGUGUACACGGGGCACACGUCAGCAGUUAAUAACUGGUGUGAAGUCCACCCCAGAAAAAAGACAAUAACUCGGGGUGAUGCGCCGAUAACUUGGACGUUCACACGGGCGCGGCCAAUCGUACGGGUGUAGUGGCGCGUUCACAAAAAAGGGAUCAAACGCUCAGCCUAUGUAUUUCUCGUGUAAAUAGAUAAUUUAGUGCCAUUGGUUAUUUACUUUAAAUAUAAUGCAUUGACGUGUCAGUGUAGAGGCGCACAAAAAGAAAUGGAUAUUGUAGUCAGCUACUUAAAAGUGUUACCUCAUAUGAUUACAUAGCCUCCAUUUCAUAAAUUGCAUACCUGUUGAAUUCAUAUAUGAAUAUUACAUAUAUUACUUCAAAAUAGAAACUUAAAUCAUCCAAGACUAAUGAAUUUGAAUGCAAGAGUAACAAUGGUGCAUGUUCAUGAUAGCUACAUUGGUUGUUUGAAGAAACAUCACUGUAACUUUGGCAUGCACAACUAAAAAGGCUUAUUUAAAUAGAAAAAAAUGUGAUAUGUGAGUGUCCAAUCUUUAUAGCGUUGAAUCGAUAUUGUACCUUUGGCCACGAUACGAAGUAGAUAUUGACUUAUGUUCAAGCGAUGCACGUCCACGAUCGCUAGAUAGUGAUACGUGAAUGAAUUGUGCAAUCUCUCUCACACGCAUACAUAUCUCAUUUCCCUGUGGGCAUCGGAAUCACACACGCGCACUUCGUGUAUUUCUCUCCCUCCGUCAGGGUUAAAUUCGUCUUUCUACCCUGUCCUACAAGUCUCUCACAUAGAAACACACACGCUCUCUAUGUCUAACACGCCCACCCCUUGAAUUCCGCCCACCCACAGCCACUAAUGUCUCUCACACAUAUGCUAUCUACCUAUCCCUUAAUAUAGCUAGAUAUGUGUCACACAAACUCCUUCUCCCUACUAGCAAGAUGCCCAUGCGUUGCACGGAACAUCAAGAUGCAUUUGUAUGAGAAGUUUAUCUUGUGGGAGAAAAGGAUGAACGAGGGAAUGCCUUAUUUGCAAAUGCGGAGAGGGGUGUGGGUAUCUUUUUGCAAAAUUGCCAUAGUUUCCUUCCUGUCCGUCAGAUAUAAAUCGGAUUGCCUAUAUUGCAGGAUGGCAGGAACACCAUCAUCACCAACUCUGUUUUUUUAUAAGAGUAGAGAUAUGUGAGUGUCAUUGCCCCCCCCCCACACACCCACACUUCCCAACACCGAAGGAGUAGGGUGACACCUCGAUUUUGAUACUAAUCUAUCGACUGGCUUCUUUCUCAAACACACACACACACACACUACCCGACACCGAAGGAGUAGGGUGGAACAUCGAUCUUGAUAAUAAUCUAUCUACUCCUCUUUCAAACACACACACACACACACAAACACACACACAAACACUUGCUAGUUGUGCCUCUGUGCCUACCGCGCACACUCUCAAUACGUCUUUCUCUCCCUCCCCCCAACAAUGACAACAGAAGGGUGACAACUCGAUCUGAUCAUAAUCUGUCAAUUGGUUUCUCUCUCAAACAUUGUGUCUUGGUAGCCCCCUCGAUAUGUAGACUUCUCGCACGCGCACAACUAUAGUGACGAUGACGCUGAACCCAGUGUGCCUUGUUUUUACCGGCCUCAUGUGAUGUUUUUCACCCUGUUUUCUGUUAAUUAACAAGGCAACCUUUUCUUUGUUACUACUAGUGAAUCUGAAAUCAUUCGGGGCAGACAUAAAAUAUAUCACUUCAACCCAAUUCUCGCAGGAACUAUUUUAAAAGAAAUUAGCUAGCUGCCCGUGCGUUGCACGGAACAUCAAGAUGCAUUUGUAUGAGUAGUUUAUCUUGUGAGAGAAAAGGUUGAAUGAGGGAAGGCCUUAUUUGCGAACGCGGAGAGGCGUGUGGGUAUAUUGUUGCAAAAUUGCCAUAGUUUCUUUCCUAUCCGUUAGAUAUAAAUCCGACGGCCUAUAUUGCAGGAUGGCACGCACACCAUCAUCACCAACUCUUUUUCUACUCCCUCCGUCCGAAAAUACUAGUCAUCAAAAUGGAUAAAAAGAGAUGUAUCUAAAACUAAAAUAUGUCUAGACACAUUUCCUUUUAUCCAUUUUGAUGACAAGUAUUUCCGGACAUUACCAACAUACUCAAAAAAGUAGUCCAUAAUUUUGAUGUUACCCUCUUUUCUUGGCGGUGCAUUGCCAUCUGGAUACCUCAUAAAUAAAUCAAGGACAAAUCUGACCCCUUCCUGAAAAGACAUACGGAGCAAAAUGAGUGAAUCUACACUCUAAAAUAUGUCUCAUUACACAUCUGUAUGUAGUAGUCCAUUUGAAAUCUGAAAAAGACAAAUAUUUAGGAACGAAUGGAGUAUAUAUAAGAGUAGACAUGGAGAUAUAUCUCCAGCAUGAUCUACAACAAAAAUGUGCUGGGCUGGUUAAGGCCGGAUGCUCGCAACGUGAUGACAUGAGUUCGAAUUCUGUCUUUUAAAUUUAUAUUUUUAUAUUAUAUAUUACUCUACUUAUUUAAUAUAUACUUCUUUCGCUACUGUACUGACAGUGGAACCCACAGAGUACUUAGAAUACAAGAUUAAGGAUGGACUUGUUUCUUUUUAACUUUCUGUACGAAGUUGUAGCCACCCUGCAAGUUACGUGUACACUGUACAUGCAAUUAACUUUUUAUAGAGGGACAAUCAUAUAGGCAAUUAACUCAAAUGGAUUGGAUGUCACCAACAUAAAGAGCAUCUCCAACGGCAGCCGACAAAUUUCCUCCUGCUUCCUUAAGCGGAGGACGACAUCAAACGUCAGCGGCAUACAUUUUUACAACUCUAAUCAACCAGAUGAAAUUCGUGCAAACACGGACUGAUUUCAUAUAAGCAUGAAGGAUUUCAUAUAAAAAGCUGGAUCUUCAUAUAAACAUGAUGGAUUUCAUUACAUUUACAUGAACUAAGAGGUGCCAAUCCGGCUCUCUUGUAUAAUUAAUACUCCCUCCGUCCAGAAAUACUUGCCCUAGAAAUGGAUGUAUAUAGACUUAUUUUAGUUCUAAAUGGCCGCCCGUAGAUCCCUUUGUCUUCCUCAUGUCCGUCAGACACUUGCGGGGUCGACGAAGGUCCUCGGAAGAGACGAAGCAGCAAAGAAACCACCUGAAUCCGCGGUCGUCACCUCGGCGGUGGCCUUCAUGGGUCCCAAGUGGCGGCGGCCUCCCGUGUUCUACUUCUCCUCGAUGAUGGCGGCAGACAUGGAGAAGCUGGCCACCUUCUCGUCGCUCUCCAUGCACCCGGCUUCUGUCUCUGCCUGCAUGGCGCUGCUGCAGGCACGGGAGGCGCGCCCACAGACACGGGAGGCGCGGCCACCGCAGACACUGGUGGCGCGGUACGACGCGGCAGCGACGGCGCCCGUACCGGUGUGCUCGCCGCCGUGCCGGCGUGGAGCAACUCGCCACUCCUCAUCAAGCUGAACUGGAGCGGCGAGUUGCUGAACCACGCGCCUGAUUGGGGCGACAACUGGCUCCGUCGGGCCAAGCGAGGUUGGUGAAGCACCGAGCGACCUCGCCCGUAUCCGGAGGGCUCGGCGGGCCACCCAGCCGGGUAAUAUGCCGGUGAACGGCUCAUCGGAAGCCAUCGGAAGAGUGGAGAAAAUGGUGAAGGAGGAGAUGGGGAAGCGGCGGAGGGGUGCGAUUCUUGCCCGCUGUCUGUCUGGCCUCGUGUAAAUAGAGAGCGAACGGUAGGAGCUUGGCUGGCGUCUGGUCUCGUUUAAACUGAGGGCAGACGAGAGGAGCUCGACCGGUGUUGCGUUUAAUUCCGGCCCGCUCAUGAACGGACGUGUGGCCGGAGUAGGAUUCUCGGUUUGCAUGCGGGUUUAAUGGAGGGGCUUAAUGGAGGCGCCGGGCGUGCAGCGGGCGGCGCAGUACUAUUCGAUUUGACAGCAGUAAUGAGCCGGCAAAUCACAAAGGCCAUCGCCUCUCGUGAAACUGACCGAGCUAGACUGCCCCGCCCUCUAGCCUUUUAAAAAAUGUAUAUACUCCACUUUUGUACAGUAGUACUAUUAAAAAGGCUUGUCACAAUAAUGGUGUCCAGCAUAAGUGCACAACCCACCCCUCAAAUAAAACUAAGCACCCUAUAAUUCUUUGACAAAACUAAGCACCCUAAAAUUCUUUGAUAACUAAACUGCUGGCUAUAUGAUGUUGGCCAUAUAUAUUGUACGUAUAUAAUGUGAAGAAACGAGUGGUUUUUGUAAGAUGACUUAAUACUCACCUAGACGGAGGGAGUAUUCGAUUUGACAGCGGGCGACACAGUUCCCGAUACGGCUUUAAUGCAGAUGAGGGAGGGAGUAGCGGUUCCCGAUAUGUUGAACGGCCAAUGCAUCCUCCUUCAAUUAAUGCAUGAGGGAAGUAAUGGGAGGAGGUCCGGGAAAAGAGGCUGCACGAUGUGAAUGCAACGCAGUUUGCCCUCAUUGCCCAUAUAUAAAGGUGCCCCUCCAUUCCAAUGCAUCUACCACAUCGUACGCACCUAAGCAUUUGCCUAAGCACCUACACUAAGCACAAAAGAGCUCACUCCAGACCCAUGGCGGUGAUGCGCGUGAGCGGCCUGCGGCUGCGCCAUAUGGUCCACGACGCCGGCCUGCGGCAUGGCGCCGAGGAUCGUCUCCAGACGGUGUUGGAGACCGGCUGGUGGAUGGCCGCCGUCGACGCCAACUACGACUCUCAGUUGGACCAGAUGAUCGUUGACACUAGCAACAAGUUCACCUUCAUCAAGAAGCUCACGGAUGACAUCGCCGUACUCCUCCAGCCCGCGCACUCGGGCUUCUCAUUGCCUGCCACCCUAAUCGGCCUCCAUGGCCGGAACCUCUUUCAAGCAUUGGUGGCCCUGCGACUGCCCGCCGACGCCAUGAAGGAUGUCCACCUGGAGGUCGCGCUCGCCGCGAGGCGCCUCGCCCUGCAAGAAUUCGUCGACCUAAACAUCCACGUGUACGAGCAAAUUAUGUACAUAGGUAUCUACAAGGCCAGUGAGGACGCUACAACAUUGGCCUUCCUCAACCGGCUGGAAGCCUUGGAUGCCUUUGCUGAGAAGCACCUCGACCUCGCCACAAAAGCCACCGCUCCUUAGCCGCCGGUCGGUGGCCCGGCGCACUAAGUUGAGGAGGAGGAGGUCGUACGUUCGUGGAUCCAUCUUUCUUCUUGCCUUCUGUAACCACCACUGCGAUCGCAUCAUCGUGGCCUUAAUUCUUAUUUUGUUGUUGCAUUCUCGUUCCAGUCAAUACCGACAUGUGCGAUCCCUUUGCUUAAUUAUAUGCAUCACUGUAACUAGUACUCCAUCCGUCAAUUUAUAAGUUGUGCUUACCUUUUCCAUCAACUUCGUGCAACGCACGGGCAUCUUGCUAGAAACACUACUCCCUCCGUCUAGGUGAAUAAGUCAUCUUAGAUUGUGUGUAUGUCAUGUGGGGCCUUAGUGUAGCUUGCCUAAGGUGUGGCUUGAACCAAACACUCACCUAAGUUAAUCAAACUUGCCUAACCUUACAUUCCACGAGAUUUUGCCACAUGUUAGAAUCCAGAAAGCUCCACAUGUAGAAGCAUAAUGCACAAACCACCAGAAUCUCAUGCGUGCAAUGCACGUAUACCUUACUAGUACUAGUUGGUAGGAGUAGUAGGAAGAAACAAAUUCCAGUUUUGGCACGAGCUCGUACUGCGGGAGCACCACAAGGCCUACCGCAGGAGUUACAUUUCCCUCUCGGGGCCCACGGGACCGAACUUCAGUGGCUUAGUGCCCGGCCUAUGAGUCAAUGACAUGCGGACCUUAAAUGCGGCUGGCCCACAUGUCAUUCUCAUGGUGGUGGCAUGGUUCGCGACUCACUCGUUCAAGAUGAACCGGGCGGUGGUGGCGUGGCCAUGGUGAGGGUGCCACAGCUGGGCGUCGGGGCAUUACGAGGCGUAGAUGGCCACACCAGCGGGCACUACCUGUAGUACAUAAGUACUCCAACUGAGGAUUGAUGCCCGGGACAAAAUGUGUCACAACCGCUGGAUGAAAAUUCGAUGGUGCGGGAGUACGGAUUGGAGCACAGCAGCGGAGUAGGAAAACCGCAUCCAAUCGGGUGUGUCUAUGGUAGAAAGUUGAUGGUCGCCGUAGUUCAGCUGGCCCGCAUGUCAUGCACACAAAGGCAGAGGAGCGGUGGGGUCGAGAGGGAUGAGGGGCACGUCGGGGGGAUGAGGAUCCCCUGACGUGAACAAUCCUACCAAUCUGUCACUGACAUGUGGGACCCAUAAGCAUGGGUCCCACCCGUCAGCGAAGGAAAGGCAGGGCAAGGCAGUGAUAGCCACGUCAGAGGAUCCAUGUCCACGUCGGGGGACGUCGUGCCGUGGGUUGGAGCGGCGUCGUGGGAAUCGCGUGUGGGUGUGGCAGUGGUAGAAACAAGAAACGUGAUGGUCACUGUGGUUCAACUUCCAUGGACAAGCUGUCAUGUCUGCUGACACAUGUAUAUCAAAACUAGAGUGUUUAUAUUUCAAGCACGUGAACAAGUAUUAUUCUACUACUUUGGAUCCAUUGCAACGCAUGGGCCAUCACAUUGGUAGUAGUAGUGUCCAUCUCUAUCUCUAGAGGCCUUCCCUCGUUCAUCCUUUUCUCUCACAAGAUAAACUACUCAUACAAAUGCAUCUUGAUGUUCCGUGGAACGCACGAGGAUGUUUCCUUGGGGGUCUCUCCAGCGCGGUGUGGCCGUAGUUGCAAGUUGACGCCCCUUGAGAUGCCGACGUUGAGGGGCACUUGGAUUUCCUCAGAUGAGCAGGUAAGAUGAGUUUGAUCACGUAGUAAAUGCAUUCUAAAGACUACUUCUGUGUCCAUUUCCUAAUUCUCCCCCUGCCUACUGUUUCACAGGUUAGGCUCGGUGCGAGUGGAGAUUGGCUUGCAUAUGUACGGGAGGGUACCAACAUCAAUUUGCACAACAUUUACAACGGUGAAACCAUUCCCGUAGAACCUUUGUCCAACAUUGGGAUCAGCCAUGCAACGGGCCACCGCAUGAAUUGGUACGAUGGAACCACGGUGAGAUUGAGUAAGAUAGCACGAACCUUGCACAUGGCGGUCAAAGGCGGACCAUGCUGUCUGCGGCCGAUUUGUUGUCGUACGAGUAGGAAGACGCUGUGCCCCUUUCUAACCGCAUCUUCACGGUGACAAACCAGGGGACUUAUUUUGUAUGGGACACAUCCUACGAUAUACUCCCUUUCUCCCAGUUUAUGUGUUUUGAAUCUUUUCAUUUUAUAAGUUUCAAAUUCAAAUUUAGAGCUCCCCAUCACAUGUUGAGAUUACAAUGUCCAUUAAAUCGUUGCGUGCAUGUAUAGUAAAGAAACAAAUCUUGAGUUUGGCACGAGUUCGUGCUGCAGGAGCACCACAAGCCCUGGUGUAGGAGUUACAUUUCCCUCUUAGGGCCGUCGGGACUGAGCUUCAACGCCUUACUACACCUACCUUUGAGUCAAUAACAUGUGGACCCGAUAGGUGACUGGUCCACAUGUAAUGCUCCCGUAGGCAGAGGGGCAGUGGGGCCAAGAGGGGUGAGCCACAGGUCGGGGGACGUGUGGUUUCAUGGGUUCGAGCGGCGUUGUGGGAAUCGUGGGUGGCUGUGGUAGAAACUUGAUGCUCGCCGCAUUUUAGGUGGCCCACAUGGCAUGCACACAAAGGCAGAGGGGCGGUGCGGCCGAGAGGGGUGAGGCGCACGUCGGGGGGCAUGGUGCCGUGGGUUGGAGAGGCGUCGUGGGAAUCGCGAGAUGAAACAUGAUGGUCGCCGUAGUUGAACUUCCAUGGACAAGUUGUCAUGUCUACGGACACAUGCACUACAUACCGAUCACUGGAAGGAGUAGCAGAUAAAGCUAUAUAUGCGGAUAAAUAGUUCCUUAUAGUCAAGCGGACCCACGCUACUACUCUGUUCCAAAGACAUGGACACCAUCGAAAUAGUCCAUCUAUAUCAAUAUACACCGAGACAGAUUAAUUUUUUUUACAAGAGAGGAAAUAGUUCAUCCAUCCAUAAUGCCCUCCUGCUGGUGCAGCCUUUUCUUCUUCUUCUUCUUCUUCUUCUUCUUCUUCUUCUUCUUCUUCUUCUUCUUCUUCUUCUUCUUCUUCUUCUUCUUCUUCUUCUUCUUCUUCUUCUUCUUCUUGUUCUCAUUCUCUGUGGGAGACGGCUUCACAACAAGCUCUUUGGAACUUGCAGCUAUCUCAAAACUCACAUGGGCAUCGAGGGCAGCAUAUUUUAUCCGCUCGUACAUCAAGGGAUAAUUCUCCCAUCCAGACGACCUUAAUGCCACUGUCUCGUCACCCUUCUGAAGAUUUGUACCGAGCACAAAAUUUGCUACGUCGAAUAGGGAUGGUGUCUGUUUAUCACAAACUUCUACAGGAAUUUUGAUUCUGGUUUGUAGGUCAGCGAUGCUAUUCAAAUCAAGGUUGUACAGCUCCAGCUUCUGUUUGUCCCCUUCGAUGGCUGCCCCACAGAAGUAUACGUCCUCCCGAGACAAGAAAUCGUGAAGCUCACCUGGUAUGGAGGGCGAGUGUAUGAUGUGGUACACCAAAACAUCAUCUUCGAGGCACAGCUGAAGGACGGUGGCGCGCUGGAUCUUCCCAGGGGCACGCUCCGUGUACUCUGCGUCGAGACCGAUGACCCUCGUCUCUACCUUUUCGAGGGAGUUGGACACAUUGUUGAUCCACUGCCAAACAACCCUUGGGUGGAUGGUGACGGUAGCAACUAUGCGCAUCGAGCCUUCGACGAGGACAUGUUGGACGCUAAAAACCUGCAUCUCGAUCUCUAUCGCCAUUUGGAACCGCUGGAACGGAGGGCUAUGGUUUGGAGAAUUAGGAUUAGAUGGCUAGUCUAACUGAAGUAGUAGAUGAUUAUUUAAAGAGGAUAAAACAAUGUGAACGCAGUGGGGUUUGGAUGCAAAUGAAGACGAAGGGGAGGUGAAGAAGUCGAGGAGAAUCGGUUCCCGAUGGAGAAGUAAAUGGGAGAAGUGGCGUGCAGGCAGUUGAUUAGACGGCUAGGUAGACUAAACGAAAAGUCUAUGCGGGUAGACUGAUGAGUCGUACCUGUUCGUGUACGUGCCCAUCCUUCCUGAUAGGUGGGACCUAUGCAAACAGAUAAAAAAAUGUGUCGUGGUUUUUUUUAGCGUGUGAGUGGGAGACACAACAUUCUCUGGUUAAGGAAUACUCCCUCCGUUUAGGUGAGUAUAAGUCACCUUAUGAAAAUCAGGUUUUCCCAAAACCUUUAGGCGUGGAGCAUUAACUUCCUGCUCGAUCCCCUCCCAGCCUCGUUAGCCAGCGUUCUCUUCCUUUGCUGCCGCGUUCUACCUUUCCAUUUUUCCUCUUCUCAAGUGUGGAACGAUCUGCAUGCCGUCCUUGAUGCACCAGAACGACCAGUGCAUGCAUCACGACAGAGCGUUGAUUGGGCAUGCACGAAAAUUUGGUUCUGCUCGCAAUAUGGAUGAUACCUGAACGAUGAAGUGAACAGGCAUGCUAGCACGGGAGACCUAUUUACACUAUACAAUACUGGAGUACUCAUGUACCUACUACUACUAGUAGUAGUAGUACAACUGUGGUACACUUGAUGGUCAAAAUACUAUUCAUCCGGUCCUCAGAGUGAAGUGACAACACCCUGCGCCUGACACUAGUCCAGGCGGCGUGUUUGGGUUACCAAAGUCAGCCUCACCCUAUGCACAGUGCAGUCUGUCACCGCCGCUGUACAGCACAUUGGCACCUCGCCUCGUCUCCCUCUCCGCUCCCAUAGCACCACUCCAUCUCCAUCUACUUCUCCGUCUCCAUGUCAUUGUGCCCCCGUGUACCGUCACCUCACUCGCCUCCCCCAGUACCACUAUUCCCUCGCUAGCCGCUCCAGGACCGACAUUCUUCUCCCUCGUAAAUCAAGCCCCCUUCCAAACUCCACCAUGGCCGAACGCGAACCGCGCAACAUCCAUAUGAGCCACGAUUGGAGCAAUCUCCCCAGUGACAUCCUCGACCUCUGUUAUUCGUGUAUGGAUAUGUUGAGCACCCUGCGGCUGGCUGCAUGCUCGAGGGACAUGCACACGACCAUCGUCGAAGCGAGGCCUAAGCUUUUCAAGACACCCUGCUUGCUGCUAUCUGGUCUUGCGAGAUUAGCUCACCAUGAUACGGAGGCGUGCAUGAUGCCCCUCGACUUCAAUCCGAUCUCCAUUAGCCGAAACUUCUUUGCAGGUAUGUAGUGGGUCGCCGUACAUCAUUUCCCUCGACAUCGAUCUGAUCACCAUCGCCUGAAACUUCUUGGCAGGUAUGUACUGGGUCGGCAUGAACUCCCACUGGAUGGCUGCCUUCAGAGAAGACAGUAAAAAGUUGGUGCUCGUGAACUUCCAGACCUCCCAUGAGAUUAUCCUUCCUCCGUUGGAUUAUAUAGAGUAUUACCAUCGCGGUCCAAGUCAUCUAGAUUACUACGUCAGUUGGACGGACCUUGUUUUGCAGAAGAUUGUAAUCUGCCAAGUGCCCACACGACAUGCGAAUUACACAGACCUCAAGCUAAUUGCCUUGUUCGACCGUGGACUCGCCUAUCUUUACGCCGGUGCCUUCUUUAGCUGGAGACAACUCGGCUAGCAGUGGAUCAUCGUCAAAGCUGAUACACACUUCUGUGAUGCUAUUGAACACAAUGCCAUCACCUACGUGAUCGACAAAGCAGAUGGCACCAUGUAUUGCUGGGACGGCGCGUGUAAGUUGUUUCCUCUCAUGUUAAUGAUGACGCCAUGACACUGUUUGAACUUUUUGUGAUGAUUGGCAUAUCUCUAUUUGAGCAGAAUUUGAGUAGAACUAUGGCAAUGUAUUAGAGAUGCCGUAAAUCAGCUAUAUUUGGAAUGAGUUAAUUCAUGCGAUUGUGACCAUGUCAUUACAGCCAAUUUGUACCCUAAAUAAUCAAACGGUUAGGAAUAUAUGGAUAUUAUCCUUAUUUUACAGUAAUCUAUAUACUACUACUAAAUAUGAGUGUGUAUCAAUGGCCAUGUUAGUUUCCUCAUUUUCAUGAUGUAGAAACAUGCAACACACUAUUGGUUUCAUCUGACCAUACACUAGGGAAGUAAAUGUGCAUAUGGAGAACCCUAUAUUUGGAAGUAGUGAAAUCCUGCAAUGCUUACCAUGUGUACAUACCUAUAUUCGCCCUUCAGCAAUCAAUGACUAGAAUAAUAUCCUCACAAAUUUUUGCCCACAGAACACGAGUAUAUAACAAUGCAUGGUCUGUUAGUUACCUUGAAGAAUUUGUUUGUGAGGAGAGAACAUGAUUAUAUAACAUGCAUGACAUGGUAGUUUCCUGUGAAGAAUCGAUUGCGAGAUAACACGAGUAUAACCAUGCAUGGCACUUCUAUAUUUUCGAACCCAGUAUACAUUUCCCUGUAUUUUCCUCCCAGUUCCAACAGGGACAUAUCAAUGCUGUUUCUUGCAUUAUCCUACUCAUACUCUGAACAAUGCUGAUCUUACAUUAACAAUGCAUGUCCUUUUUGAUAUGAUGUAGUGUCCCUACAGUUACUGCCCUUUGUAAUCACACCACCUUUGCCAAAAACAGGGAAGCACAACUGGUUCCUCGCUCGAUCAGACGACGACAAAAGACUGAUGAUCAUUCGGACACAUGAGCUGGAAAAUUUAUAUUGCAAAAACCCCAUUGUAUACAAGCACCGUGUAAUACAUGAGUAUCCGGACAGUGGCUGUUACGUCUAUGAGUAGGAUACCAGCUUGUUGGGGCCUUUAGGAUUUUUUAGUUGGAGGCGGGUAACCAGCCUUGGUUCACACUCUCUGUUUCUCGGACUCAAUUAUCCGAUUAACCAGGAGAUCACCGUUGGCAAGGACCUUGAUGGCAGAGAGGCUCUAUUUGCUAUGGAAACUGUGUCUACACGGCGAGCCCUAGGAGUUCGGGAGCAAACUCCCCUGAUUGUCAACGAUACAUCCUGCAGCCAAAAGAAGGUGAGAAUGACAAAGGCAUCCGGAUUAACUUUGAUCCUUGGAUGUCUCAAUUACGAUAGGCAGUGAUGUGGUUCGAGCCUUCAGGUUGAUAGGUAAUUGGGCUGUUGCAUCGAAAGGGUGGAGUACUGGUGUCUCCGGAUCACUGGUCGCUGAAGCGGGGCUGCAAAUUAUGAUGGUGUUGGAUUAUCUCUUCGAAUGACUUUGUUGUCUUUGCUGCUGGUUCUGGAUGGGUAGUUCUUUCUUUUGUUAUGCAUAUUCCUUGUCAUUUGGUCAUCCUCGUCUAUGUCACUCUUACUAUGUAAUAGUUGCUUCUGUUUAGAAUGUCAUUCUCGUCUGGAUCACGAGAGUCUGAGCGCUGCAGAUGGGUGCGUUUUGGUGGUGUAGCAAGACUUCUUAUGAACUAUCAUGUCUUGAUGUUUAUGUCAGUAGUAGUCACUAGUCAGUGUUUGAAUGUUGUAUAUAUCGUUGUUUCAAACUGUUUAUUGUCUCGAACUACUGGUGGGCUAAAUGAGGGCAUCACCAUUCUCCAGUGUUCAGAGUAUAUCUCCUUUUUUCAAGUUAUAUAAUUUGAGCUCAGUGUCUUUUCGAUGAUGUACACUUGUUUGGGCCAGUGAGGUGUUGUUGAAUAUGGGCCGAGUAGUAACACAAUGCCAAACAGGUCAAUUAUGACUCUCAGGCCGAGCUCUCAAAAGAUCCUGAAAAAAGGCCGGGCUCUCCAAAAAAGAAAGAAUAAGGACUCUUAGGCCGACAUGUGGGCACCACCGGUGUUUUCGUGCGCUUGCGCGCCGAGAGCAUAUUGGUGUGUGCUCGAAAUUCAUGCUACCUUUUCAUCCGCAGUNNNNNNNNNNNNNNNNNNNNNNNNNNNNNNNNNNNNNNNNNNNNNNNNNNNNNNNNNNNNNNNNNNNNNNNNNNNNNNNNNNNNNNNNNNNNNNNNNNNNNNNNNNNNNNNNNNNNNNNNNNNNNNNNNNNNNNNNNNNNNNNNNNNNNNNNNNNNNNNNNNNNNNNNNNNNNNNNNNNNNNNNNNNNNNNNNNNNNNNNNNNNNNNNNNNNNNNNNNNNNAAAUCCCCCUCCUGUACUCCCUGUACUCAAGCGCACUAUCAUGUCGCCGGUCAACACGGAUCUCCGAGCUGGAGAUCCUGAGGUCCGUCCUGCCUUCGGUCGCUGCGUGCUGUCGCUCAACAGUGGCAUGGCGGCGCUUGACGACCAGUUUGCCGGCAAAGUGCUGAUGGUAACCAUCAACGGCGACCGGCCUCCCGUCUCGCCAGAUGACCUUGUCAAAGCUCUUGGCAUUGCGCACGGCAUCCAAAUAAGUGACUUGCUCGUUGAAGUUUGUCCGCCACCGGCUGAUUUCUUUGUCAGGUUACGGACAACUUUCGACUGCAGUCGUGUGUUCGAAUCUUCCCGGCGUUUGUUCUGCGAUGGCACGCUGGUGAGCUUUGAUCGGUGGCACCCAGGAUGGGGCUCGGUGCCCUCUGAGCUUGAGUUUUUAACAAAGCUUACCUUCCAUGGAAUGCCUCGACGUGCUUGGAAGAGCGAGUCCAUGAACGAGCUUAUCAACGACCUUGGAGGUGAGCUCGUAAGUUUGUUUGUUCCUCCAGACAGCUGGGCUCUGACGGUUAUGGCAUGGAUGAAGAAGCCGUCCACCAUACCGAAGGUGAUUGGUGUUGAGAUACCGGUGCAGGAACCGGGGUUGUACUAUUCAUCGCCACCAAGGCCGCCGUGGACCACGUUAGGGAUGUACCUGUAUCGAGUGUUCGUGCAUGUCAAAGAAGUGGUCAAUCCAUCAAUCGAAGUCCUGCCGCCGCCGCUGGUGCCAGGGUCCGUCGACAACUUCCAUUACAGGAGUCAACGUCAGACUUUCCCCGUGUUGCUCGGAACGAUGGAUGGCACAGGGCCUACUCCAUCGCGCGGCGGAGGCCACUGCUUCUUUGGGAGAAGAGGCAGGGCUGGCUGCCUGGAUGUGCUCUAAUUUGAGGUAACAAUUGAAUCUUGUCAGAUACUAGUUAAAUCCGAGCUAUGGGUGUGAAGCACUGAUAUGCCAGUACAAUUGAUUGUGACCUGUUCUAAUUUUGUACCUGAACUUUUUUUAGAAAGGGUUGUACGUCAACUUAAUGUGCUAGGAGAACUUAUUGUGUUGUCUGUCUGUUUUCUUUGCACAACAUUCAAGAUAUUUCCCCAUCAUUGAUAAAGACGAUGAACUGUUAUGUACGACUUCGUUGGUUUCAACAUAGCCCUUCCCGUAGCGAUCCACUGCUUCCAUCCUGAUUGUGCCGCCUGCGUGAAAUUUUUGUAUGCAAGUUCAGUGUGCUAUGAUGUUCUAUAUGAUUGUGUCAACUAUAUAAGUUUUUACUGAGCAUCAGCAAUGCAUAUGGCUGAAAGAUGUAUUUACGAGCAUCGGCCAAUGGGUCUCUCUCUCUCUCUCUCUCACACACACACACACACACACGCACAAGUGGGACCCGUUGAAUUAUUUAUUUUCUCAUGACAACUUUUAAUUAGGUUCCACUGUAAUCUAACUUUUUUCUUAAGUUAUUAAUUGAGCUCAGUGAUUUCAAAAAGUUGUACAGAAGCCUUGUUUGGGCCUUUCCGGCAUCGCUGAAUGUGGGCUGAGUAACCAUGUUAGGUUGUACUGUACUACACAGGCCUUUUUUGCUAUUUUUUUAAAUAAUACAUUUUUAUUAAUUUUCAUAAAUAUUACGCUGGGUAAUUUUUUUCAAAAAUAAUACACCGUCAGCCCGCUGCAGGCCGACUGGGCCUAGUCGGCCCACAACAGGCCGAUUGGAUUCCAGUCGGCCUACAGCUGGCCGACUGGCCCCUGUCGGCCCACCGUGGGCUGAUUGGGUCCUGUCGGCCCACUGUGGGCCGACUGGAGCUAAUUGGCUCGCUGUGGGCUAAUUGUUUUUGUAAAAGUGUUAAUCAUGUAUUUAAAAAAUAUGUGUAUUGUGACCUCCUCCGCUCGCUGUGGGCCCACUGUUGACUAAAAAAUAUGUUUUAAAAAGUGUUAAUCAUGUAUUUAAAAAUUGUUAAAUGUGUGUAUAAAGAAUGUUCCUUAUCUAUACAAAUUUUUUUAAAUGUGUGUAUAAAAAAUAGUUUUUUUCAACAUCAGCAAUGCAACUGGGCCGACAGUUGUACACAAUAUCCGGGUCAACUUGUUAUUCUCCGCUCCGCUGGGCUGCAAACUUUCCUAGGAGGUAUGCAUUAGGCUUAACAAGAAAAUGGACUUUAAAAAAUAAUAAAUGGGAUGUAAUUAUAAUAACUGGACAAUUACUAUGCACCAAACACGUAAUUAGUUUGAAAAAUAUAUUAUUUUUGGAAUUUGAAAUUUUUAAUUUCAUUACUUGUUGCGCGCGCAAUAUUUUGUUGGAUUUUAAUGUAAUACAACUUUAUUUUGAAAUUAUAUUUAACCUGACUAGAAAUUUCAGAUAAAAAUAUUUCGGAUCCCAUCAAAAUGUGGGAUUUUUUUUGAAUUCUGUUUUGAGCGGUUGUUUGAAAUUAUUAAUCGUUGUCCUAGCUAGAAGUUGGGUUGUACUUUUAACAAACUAUAAAUGGGCUAUAAAUGGGCUGUAGUAAAUUCCAUUAGAAUUAAAAAAUGGGCUGUACAUUCUUACAAAUCGCAAAUGGGCUAUAUGUUCUCUGCCAAAUCCAAGCUGUGGGCCUACUAAGUUGACGUGUACCAAGGGCUUUGUCAACUUAGUUAAUAUAAACGAUUCUAGCUGCAGUGAUCGUACGAUGUCCAUCCAACGGCCGUAGUGCUUCUUCUACCUCUGGUCUUCUUGGUCCAGCCGCCCAAAGCAGCGCCGGUCGUGCCGCCUGCUCCUGCCUCCCGUGGCCGGCUGUGCUGCCGCGGAGGCCUCACCGCCCCCAUACUACUCCCAUCGCUGGCCAGGCCAUCCCUCCACUCACCCACAACCCCUGUUAUUCUGCGGCGACGGCAGCCUCACACCGCAGCCGAACCAGUGAACCCUCGUACUCCUCUCCGCACGGGCUUCCACUGUUGCGUCUUCCUCAGCUCCGCGUCAUCUCCUUCCUAGGCCUCGUCGUCGUCCAGACCACCGCCCUAGUGCUCUCGGCGCGGCGUGGUCAACAUGGUCAACGACCGACUUCCAACGGAAGAGUACUGUGCGUGGAGAGGCUGACAGCUGGGUCCACGGUAGCCGCAAGGAAGUGCCUCCUUAUUACGCGCAAAAUAAUUAUUCCUCCACCUGACAGCGGGGACCCACCGGACGGGCCACCGUAUUUCACGAAAAAAUGAUUCGCCCCCUGACUGCUGGGACCCACGAGCUACAUCUUCGCACGCAAGGAAGUGCAUCAAAAAAAACGAUUCGCCCCCCUGACUGCUGGGACCCACCAGCCCCCUGACUGUUGGGACCCAUCAGCUACACCUUCGCAUGCAAGGAAGUGCGUCCGGGCAAAAAAAACAAAACGAUUCGCCCCCUGACUGCUGGGACCCACCAGCUACACCUUCGCAGGCAAGGAAGUGCCUGACAGUCGGGACCCACCUGGUUGAAGCGUACGUAGUGUUGUCAUUCUGGUCGUGAACGUGUACGUACAUACUGGUCGAUGUAGAGGCGCGCACGUGUCGUAGUAGAGGCGCGCACGUAGCAUGUACACGUACGUAUAGCGGCCAGGGUGCAAGAAAGAAAAUACGGCCACGUAUGUGUACAUACGGGCGGGGUCUCGAAUGCCUACUCGCGCAUACGUAUGACCAGUGCUCGUGUACAUGGCUGGGUCGGAAUGGAGAAACAGCGUCGUCGUCGUGUUCAUGGGGAGGCAACAGAAUGCGUCGUGUUCAUGGGGAGGCAACGGAAUGCGUCGUGUUCAUGGGGAGGCAACGGAAUGCGUCGUGUUCAUCGGGAGGGGUUGGAUGGAACAGGCGAUGGAAACGAGGCUUGGCGUACCGCAGAACAGAGGAAACGGCCUUGUGUUCGACCGGCCAUGUUUGAAACAGGAUCAUGUUCAUCGGGAGGGGUCUGGCGUACUGCAAAACGGAGGAAACAGACCUCCUACGAUCGAAACGGGGGUCCUGUUGAUCGGGAGGGGUGUGGCGUACCGCAAAACGGACGAAAUAGACUUGUGUUGGAGCGCUACGGUCGAAACGGGGGUCCUGUUCAUCGGGAGGGGUGUGGCGUACCGCAAAAUGGGACUCCAUGGGAUACUGUUCAUCUCCACCGUCGUCCUCCUCUAGCCUCCACGGGCUCCUGUUCAUCCAGCCUCCACGGGCUCCUGUUCAUCCAGCCUCCACCGCGCGCUACUCCACCGGCUAUGUUCAACCACCCCUACACCGUCUACUNNNNNNNNNNNNNNNNNNNNNNNNNNNNNNNNNNNNNNNNNNNNNNNNNNNNNNNNNNNNNNNNNNNNNNNNNNNNNNNNNNNNNNNNNNNNNNNNNNNNNNNNNNNNNNNNNNNNNNNNNNNNNNNNNNNNNNNNNNNNNNNNNNNNNNNNNNNNNNNNNNNNNNNNNNNNNNNNNNNNNNNNNNNNNNNNNNNNNNNNNNNNNNNNNNNNNNNNNNNNNNNNNNNNNNNNNNNNNNNNNNNNNNNNNNNNNNNNNNNNNNNNNNNNNNNNNNNNNNNNNNNNNNNNNCCCUCCACCGUCUACUGUUCAUCCGGCCCUCCACACCACGGGGUCCUGUUCAACCACCCCUCCACCAUCUACUGUUCAUCCAGCCCUCCACACCACGGGGUCCUGUUCAUCCACCCCUCCACGGGCACCCCUCAACCGUCAACUGUUCAUCCAGCCCUCCACCACACCACGGGGUCCUAUUCAUCCAGAGGCAACGCCACCGCUCACUGUUCAUCCACCCCCCCGCAACGCUCGCUGUUUAUCCCAUCGAUCGGCUUCAGUUAGCAGUAGUAGCUAAGGAAUCACUCGAUCGGGUUCAGUUAACAGCCAUCGAUCGAUCGCUCGGGUUCAGCAACGCAUAGCCUGCAGUGCAAUCGCUCGGGUUCAGUUAGAGCCCAACGCCUCGCUCAGGUUCAGUUAGAGCCAACGCCUCGCACACACGCGCGUACUUGUACGAGAGAAACGCGCAUCGCUCGGCCCCUGACCUCCCACCAUAACCGGGAACUCCCCGAAAUUUUCCUCCCCCUUGCUUCUACCAUGGUUUUUUUCCGUCAUGGACGACCCAAAGAAUGUCAUGCAACUGCGUCUCCGGCCCACCCAGGACGAAAAGCCAUUUUUUGUCAUGAUUUUUUGUCAUAGAAGUAGGAGCCCACCACACCUAUGAUGAUACCGGGUUUUGUCACAAUUAUCGUCAUAGAAGUGUCAUAUGUAUGACAAAAAAAAAA
rnacentral:lncRNA from 1 species